rnacentral:lncRNA from 1 species
CCGGGGCUCCUAGAGCCUCCAAGUUCAGUGACUCAGAACCAGGAUCAUUAUCACCUCUUCAACGCCUUCCCAUAAGAAGUGCUUCUCUAGGCUCAAAUGAAUCUCAGAGAUUACCCAAGAGUGGUAACAAACUGAGCACCGGAAGUAAGUCAACAGUAAAUAGGCUAACAAGAUCGAUAUCACCGCUACCUCCAUCUAAGAGAGAAACAAUAGCAACGGUAAAUAGGGUAACCAGGUCGGCUUCACCGUUACCUCUGCCUAAGAGAGAAGCCAGAGUUAGUCUAGAUAGUCAAAACAAGUCUGUCUCAAGGAUAAGACGAUUGUCAGAACCCAAAAUAGGUAAUAAUAGUGCACCGAGCUCUUCAGCAAGGUCACUGCGCACAACAGCAUCCAAAAAAACAACUGAUACUCCUGAGAUAAAGAAAAUAUCUGCUAUUGUUAACUAUGACAUAGCGAAAAUCGCUUCUCUUCCGGAACUGAAGAUAAAGCCACCCAAAGGUCCUACUAAUGCUGUGGUGAAAGGGGUCGAGAAAGUUAAAUCUUCUGCUUCCGAGGCUGAACCAAGUGGUAGCAAGAACAAACCCUUGGGCCAAAAUGAUGUUAAUGAAACUCCAGUGGUUGAGAAGACAGUGGUGAUGGUGUUGCCAAAUUCAGCUCGAAGUAUAUCUGCAGAUCAGACGAAACGUGACAAGUCAGAGGUAGUCCCUGAAACAACACCGGAGAGUGGCAAUGAUCUAGUCUUAGUAAGCAGCACUCUUGUUCUAGCUAGAUCAGUUUUACUUUCUGUUUAAUCGGUUUUUUGGUGACCAGAAAAGGUUAUUUUGUUUGCAGGUUAGGUUGGAGACUCUGAGUGACUUAGUAACAGAAACACCAAAGUUUCUGACAAGUCAGAGUGUUGCUGUAAAACCAUAUGAAGCUCCACAUGCUCGUGUUUCUUCAUUAGAAGAUUCAUGCACAGUGUACUCAGAGUAUUCCCAAGCACCUGCACCAAGCGUGCAUUCAAAUGAGGCAGCGCUAGAAACUGGGAAAGUCCUUAUACCAGAGAAGAAGAUAAGUGAGGCCUUAGAGAAAUCUCAAACAAAAGAGUCAGCGUCAAAAGGGCUCAGAAAACUGUUGAAAUUUGGAAAAAAGAGUCAGUCUUCUUCGUCUACAAGUGAAUACCAUACCGAGUCUGAUAACGCAGCCGGCAAUAGCAAUGAGGAUCAUGGUUCAGCUAUAACCGCUGCUACGACAAGUGAAGGUACAAGCUUCUUAAAAACCUUUUUACCUUUUACUAAAGACUGCCGAAUCAACUGUACAUUUAGUUUGCUUUACUCUUUACAAGUUUGUUACACUGUAUUAUCCGCUCAUAGGAUUAAAUCUACAUUGUAGCAUAGGAGCAAGAACCUUGUAAUUAUUUUCUCUAGGAUGAAACUUACGUUAUAGCAUAAGAGCAAGAAUCUUCUGUUUCACACUAGUAUACGGUUCUAUCGAUGUUAGCAUACAUGGUAUAGAAAUGAUAACCAUGACUUAUGUAUCUCGGAAGGGGGUUAAAGUUUCUGUUUUGUUAUCCAGCAUUUACACUGAAGAACCUCAUAUCUCAAGAUGAAACACCUACAGCAGCAGCCGCUUCACAGAAAUGUAAGAAUAUACUUCUAAUCAUUUAUUUAUCUGAGUUCUUCCAGUGAUGGGAGUCUUAAAUAAGAUUUCUCACUUUUCUUAAACUUUCUCAGCUUCUCGCCAUUUCUCAUUACUGUCUCCCUUCAAGAACAAGAAGAGAGUCUCGUAAGGAAGUUGAGUGGAUUAGAUAUCAUCUCCAUUUACACAUUGUAAUGACUUGCGUAUUUGCGAUGAUAAACUACCAUUGAUGCAAAACACUUGGUUCCAAUUCCAAAUACAGUGAAAUGCGACCUUUUGCUCGUUUUAAUUUUCCACCAUGAGCUGGACACGCUUGUCAACAAAUAAAUAUAGAGAGGUUUUCAAAAUUUCCAACAAUGAGCUGGGAGCACUGUUAUACAAACUGUUUAUCAGACUAUCGCUGGAAAUUAUUAUAUUAUAUAUAUUUGUUAUUUUGAAAGCUGUUUUAGAAUUAAGAAGUUCACAAGGGUAUUAGUAUAAUAAUAUAUUAGAGCAGCUCUACCUGACGAGCGGUUUGUCUUCCAGCACAAUGAUAACUCCAACGAACUUUUCUUCCUACGAUAAAAUGUUUUAAAAUUGAACUUAUCAUGGAAUCAAUUUACUAACCCAAGAACUUUUCCUUCAAAAGGGGUGUAUUGAAUCAUGCAUAUAUUAAUAUAGAAAACAAAAAAAGAAAAUCAAGUAACGAAGCAUGGGCUAUUCUUGAUUUUGACGCUCUUUGAUCUACCAAAACAUCCACAUGUUUGUGUAACUACAUAUCAAAUUGCUUUUUCUUAAUUAAUAAUAUCAUAAAGUUUCUUUACAAAUAAUAAAAUCAUGAUUUUUCCUCAAUAACGAAUGAAUCGUCCAAAAAAAGUUGAAGCUGGUGAAAGGCAGUUUGACCCCUCCCCAUCUCCCAACUUGGUACUUCGCUUUGCACACAUCACAUGCUUCCUCUCACUCUCUCUCCUCUUUUCUUCUCCCACUCUUGUUCUUCUCUCUAAAUGCUCUGUACUGUGUCAAGCCAAAAAUGGAAGCUUUACUCCAUUAACGACGAGAUCCUUCCCUAAUUCUCUAAUCAAUAGGUAACCCAUUUUUAUUUAGACUAACCCUCAUAACGCUUCUUGGUUUCCUGUAAAUCUUAUAGCUUAGAGUAAAGAUUUUUAUUUACUUAGCUAAAAAGAAAGAACUUAUUUACCAUAAAUGGUGAGACAUCCAUUUGCGGCUGAGAUUUUGCUAACUUUAUUAUCUCUCUCUCUUUCUUGAUUUUCCUAUUUUUCUUUUUUACUACCUACACAAUAACAUCAUAAUCAGAGAGGGAUGGUGAGUUGAAAAUGACCAUUGUGUUGCAUCUAGUUGAUAAAUCUAAAAACCCUCAAAUACCCCCACUUUCUCAAACGAAGUUAAAACAAAUUUUACUCUUUUACUUAGAUCUCAUUCCCAAAGGAAAAAGAAAACCUUUUGUGGGUUGUUGAUGCUUUAUUAGUUCAUGAUCUCUUAUGGGUUUUGUAAGUUACUGAUUCUAGUGUCGGUUUACGUAUGUGUUUAGGAACCAUGAAAUCUUUAGUGGGUUUGUGAGCAGUAGACAAAUUUUACGGAAUGUAAUAUUAAAGGGAUGAUUUUGACAGCUAUUGAGUAGUUAAUCCGCAUCUGUAGACAGCUUUUGAUUAUGAAAUGGUAAAGGAGGGUCCCUACUUCUUGAAGGAUUAUGCCCCCACAAACUCAAUGAAUGUAAAUUAUUGGUGAGCUAAAAGUUUUUUUUUUUGUGAUGAAAAAAAUGAGGGUGUCUUUUAUUGUUCUUGUUAUAAAUGAGAAUGAAACUUGUGUUGGAAAGUCAAAUAAAUUUCUUCUUCCUCAGGGUUCACCUUAGAGAGAGAUCCACAAGUUUUUUAGGUAUGUUGGUGUUUGUGUGAUCUAUUGAUUUUGUCCUUUUUAUCUCUGCAAAUAAUAGAGAAGAUAAAUGAAGCAUUUUUCCUAGGUUAAGUGUACUUUUUGCUACUUGAAGUUUAUGUGAGUUUUAUUUUCUCUUGACUUUGCUUGUAGAAAACUAUAAUUCUAUAAUAAAUAGUGCAAGAGAAAGAGCUUCUUGAGAUCUGCUUUUAGUUCUGAUCACUUGGAUCAGAAAACAAAUUUCUCCUUUAUUUUGUCAAAAUAAGGAUGAAGGCUGUAGAGUUUUGAGCUAACCAUAGAACCUACGAACAAACUAGAAUUUAUAAUAGAAACUUUCUCAAUUCUUAACCUCCCUUAUCUUCUCUGCCAAAUUUUUUUUAUGACAUCACAAUUUUGCUUAAGCAGAUCUAUUUUAUCUUCACUCUACCUUCUUGCUUUGGACUGUGAGGCCUCAUGGUCUGGUUACUAACAGAGUGUAUGAACCAAGUUUAUAUUCAAAUUGUCAGUAGCAUCUAUAUAUACUAUUUUGCUUGUAAGAAUCCAUUUUGUUUAUCAAGAGUGGAGUAGAUCUCCAUUCUACAAUUUGGCUCUUAUGAAAUCUUUUGGGUCUUUCAGAUUUUGGUGUUUUAGUGUCUGUAUGGAGUGUAAUGCAAAGCCAUCAUUGCAGUGGGAGUGGGAUAAUCUAAUAUCGUUUGGUACUUCAUCAGCUGAAAUUCCUAAAAAGCAACGACCAAUGGAUUGGGAAAAUGAUGGGUUUGAUUGCACCACUUUUUACUCGUCCAGCUUUGCUACAGAAGCAGCUUAUGGUGGUGGUAGUUCAGGUUCUGAUCUAGCUCAUGCUUUCUCUAAAAGCUCAAAGUCAACUUCCAUUAGCUCUUCAUCAGCUGAAGUGAGAACAUACAAUUUCACAUCAGAAGCUGGUGAAAGUGUUCCUCCUGGAGAAUUGGGGAGCAGUGAAGAGUUUGCAAUGGGAAUUGAUGCUUCUCCAAGUCUUGAACUCUCCUUCGGCUCUGGUGAUCCGGUUCUUGGUUUGAAGCUUGGUAAGAGGACAUACUUUGAAGACUUUUGGGAAGUGGAGAAUGCUAAAGGUUCAGCACUUCCGGUGAGCCUGGCGUCAUCUUCUGCUUCUCCGGUGAAGAAAUCCAAAACACUCUCUCAGAAAUUACAAACUCCUCACUGCCAAGUUGAAGGCUGUAACCUCGAUCUCUCCUCAGCUAAGGACUAUCAUAGGAAACACAGGAUUUGUGAAAACCAUUCAAAGUUCCCUAAAGUCGUUGUCAGUGGCGUAGAGCGCCGGUUCUGCCAACAAUGUAGCAGGUAGAAAAGCUAGUCUUAGAGAUAUUGGUUUAUACAAAAGCCUUAAUGACUUUUUUUAAUUGUUUUUGGUCUUCAAAGGUUUCACUGUCUCUCUGAGUUUGAUGAGAAGAAACGUAGCUGUCGCCGGCGUCUCUCAGAUCACAAUGCAAGACGUCGCAAGCCAAAUCCCGGGAGGACAUAUGGUAAUAUACUAGAUUCACUUCUCUCUAAUCCUAUAUAUUAAAUCUAAAUUUUUAGUUAUAUAAUUAGUAGGUUUCCCUUUUCUAAGAUAAAUAUCAUUCUGUAUGUGCAGAUGGGAAGCAACAGAUGGAUUUUGUAUGGAACAGAUUUGCACUUAUCCAUCCAAGAAGUGAAGAAAAUUUUCUGUGGCCAAAUCCGAAGCCUGUAUCAUCAAGAGGGUUAUUGCAGGAACCUGCAAAGACCGAGAUGCCCAAUAAGCUUUUCACCGAGCAUUGUGGAUUUGGAUUGUUGGACCCCAAAACGAAAACCACCAGAGCUGAGUUAUUCAGUAAAGGUUUGUGUUUUUCUUUGCUGUUUAAUAUAUUUUCUCUUGUUGUAUUCAUGAUCUUGAUGAUUGCUUGUUUUAUGCAGAUUUGUUAGAAAAGGUCACAAUCUCUUCUUCACACAUGGGUGCUUCUCAAGAUCUUGAUGGUGCUCUCUCUCUUCUGUCAAAUUCAACACCAUGGGUUUCCUCGAACCAGCCAACACGGUUUUCCCUUAACCACCAUUCCACAAGCAACCUCCAACCCGUGGUUCACGGGUCUGUGACUCAACUCAGUUCAGUGUCCAGCUACUGGCAGCCGGACCCACCAGCAGCUGAGGGCUCAACCGCUUUGACUAGGAAUGGGGUAGGCCAGUUUAAUGAGAACUACAACUUGAAUCAGUUUUAUAACUGAAAGUGUGUUGCUUUUAAAAUCAUAAUAAGAUAUUUUGUGUAAGGAUCAGGUGAGCCUAGUGGUAACGUUUAAAUAGGAGCUGUGAAACUUGCUAAAGACAUCAACUCCUCUCGUCUUUCUUUUGUCCAUUGAUUUUCUUGGGUUAGGGAGAGUUGUGACAGUUAAGUAUUAUAAAUCAUCUUGUCAAAUUAUUUAUACAUUAGAAUUUUCAGAUAUUGAUGGUGUAGCAACUGAAAAAUUGAUCAAACGCAUCAUAAUAUACGUAUGAUAAGGUUAUUUGCAUCUGAACUUUUUUUAUAUUCGCAUUAGUCAGCAUUUUGUGUUAUACUAGAUUUGGAUCCGUGCGUUGCAACAGGUUUUAUUUGAUAUUACCAUCCAUUGAUUUUUUUUUUUUUUUGCAAACAAAUAAUUUGGUAAUUCCAUUAACCGCCACAGUCGUUUUCUGAGCAAAACCAUGUUAAAAUCUUUGGUUGUUUGAAAUCCUAAUCCGUCGUUGUUUCCAUCCUGUCACAAUUUAUGCCAUGACUAACAUAUAUUACAUGUUAUUUUCAACGGUGUAGAAGUUGAUUUAGCAUAUUCUAUUCGAUUUCAUCGGCGGACAAACUCAUUAUGAAGUGCUGAGCACAUUACUGAAAUCAAAGUGAAAUAUGUUUCUCCAACCACAAACAUCAUAAAUAGAGGAGACAUUGUCAUCUCCCGUACACAAAGGUCUAUAUAUGUAUAGACAUCAUAGAUAGAUGUGACAUUAUCACCUUCCCUCCUUGAUCUUAACUCCAAGUUGCUUAAAGUUUCCGUCUUUGGGUGUCACAAAGCCCGUCGAGAAAGAUCCAGAAGCGCCUGUGUCUUUAGUUUGAAAGGCACUGAAAGAGGAGCUUGAGCUUUCAUCAAAUCUCCAGUCGGUUAGGUAGCCUAGCUGAGAGGUUAUCUUACUGACCUCAACGUCUCCUGAAAGCAUAGCCACCACUCUUGACAUUGGUGGUCUCAAGGAAUGAGAUGAAUAUGUGCAUAGCAGAGCAAUUCCUAUCACGCGUUUCACUUCUUCCAUGUUGAAUUCAGCCAGCUCCUGAUCAAUUAGUUCAGCUUCUCGGCCAUCUUGGUGUAGAUUCCAUGCCUGUGUACACCAUAAAUUGAUAUAUUAAAAAUCGGCUCCAUUUUUCCAAUCAAAAUUUUGACUAACAAGCAAAGACUUACCCAUUGAAGAAGAUAUUUUUUCUCAUUAUCCAGGUUCACAUUAGUGUUUUUUCUUCCACUCACCAGCUCAAGAGCCACAAUACCAAAGGCAUACACAUCUGCUUUCUCUGUUAGGUGUCCACGCAUGGCAUAUUCUGGCGCAAGAUAUCCACUUGCAUUUGUACAAACAACAUUGUGUGUUAUAAAUAAUUACAUUUAUAUAUAUACAUAUUUAUGUUGCAAAUUAAGAAGAAAAAGAUAAUGUUUGAGAAUGCAUACAUGGUCCCUGCCACUCGGGUACUUAUGUGGGUUUUCUUGUCAUCGUAUAGCUUUGCAAGCCCAAAAUCAGAAACUUUUGGGACCAGACUAAAGUCAAGCAAAAUGUUACCAGCCUUCACAUCCCUGUGUACUAUGCGAACGCUCGCCUCCUCGUGGAGGUAGGCUAGACCUCUAGCUACUCCCAUGCAUAUCUCAAAACGUGUUGACCAAUCAAGAUAUAAAGUCUUCCCACCUCCUGCAACAUCCAAAGAACUUAGUGAUUCAGCUUGACAGACAGAGAAGCAAAGAUUAAAACAAGUCAUGUUUAUGUUCAUUACCAAAUAGUGCCUGAUCGAGACUUCCAUUGGGCAAAUACUCAUAUACGAGCAAACGAUGAUCUCCUUCGUAGCAACACCCGUAAAGUUGUACUAGGUUGCGAUGCAUAACUGCAGAAAUUGCUACAAUUUCUGCAACAAAUUGUCCCUUCCCGUGUUGGGAUCCAACCGACAGCACUUUCACCGCGAUCUCUCUCCCAUCAUUUAGCUUUCCCUGUUGGAUGUGUUAUAUCAUAACAAAACACACAUGGGCAUUAGUUAUAUUGUUGGUUUUGGGCAUGGGGCUUACCUUAUAAACAGACCCAAAUCCUCCCUCUCCAAGCUUGCUUGAGGGAUUGAAAUCUUGGGUGGCAUUUUUAAGUUCAGAGUAAGAAAAAGUGUAAGGCUUUAUGUCCAUACUAAGCAGCUCUGUAACAACAACAACAACAACAACAAAAAUCAAUAGGAAAGAUGAUAUUUAAUUAAGCUCGAAGGUUUGUUUGUGUUUGUUAUGAUCACCUGCAUCAUCUGUGUAACGCUUAUUUCUUUUUCGGAUCAUGAAGAUGGCCACACCUGCAAUGAUACUUACAAGUCCAAGGCCAACAAUAACACCCACGAUAGUACCGGUGCUAUAUUUUUCCUUUGAUGGUGGCAUGUUUCCCACAGUUGGUCUAAAGUCUUAACAACAACAACAAUAUGUAACACUCUGCAUCAGGGAGGGCAUAGAGGAAAAAAACAUAAGAGUUUGAAGGUUGUUGUGAUACCUGGUUUUGCACUGACGGACGUUAUUAGUGGCCCAUACGUACCCAUAAUAGGAACACCGGCUGUUCCUUUGCCAGCCCAGAAAAGAUGAAUUUCAAGGUAAUUUUCUGAUACGUUUGUUUUAUAUUUUCUCUGAACUGCUUGGAUAGUAUUUCCACCAGCUGUUCUGCGUAUAUCAAAAUCCUUUUCAACAAGUCGUCCCUGAAAAAGUGGAGCUAGGUCUCAGAACUCAGCAAGAAUAUUAUAUUAUUAGACAAUAAAGCAGUAGGGCAAACCUGGAUAUAAAUGUCAAAACGUCGUGUUCCUAGACCUUUCCAAGAGUAAGAAUCAGUAAUAAUUAUUUCAGCAAACUGAAGUGUUACGGUAUAGCCUCCAUUUUCUAGCCCCAACCCAUAAUACCGUAGGGAAGAUGAAGAAUGUCUUGCUGACUUGUAAAGCUCCGCGUUCAAAGUGUUGAUAAUCCAUACAUUGUUUCUACGCGCGGAAUAAUAUCCUACACUGCUGACUGCCCAUCUCUGAACAUCACUCACGAAAAAUGAAGCUGUUCCUAGAUCCUCGUCCUCCUUCUCAAAUACUUCUCCGUUUGACCGCAUUUCUGGGCCUCCGCUGUUGAUGGAAAACUCAGAAUCUGAACACCAGUCAAUAGAGUAAAUAUUUUUUUUCGAACAGAAAAUACAAGCACAGUUGAGAACAACGGUUAUGAUGAUAUCUCUUUGUCACACUUACAGAUUCCUUUGCCUCGGUUGCAGGGGAAGUUCUUCUGCAGGCACUUCAGUCCUUGUAAAAUCCUUUUAACAAAAUGAAAUCAGAUUUAAAAAGAUGAAACUGGAAUUUCAGGCAUCAACAAGAACUUAUAUAAUAAAAUCACCUCUUGUCAUGACCUUUCAAGGUGAAGUUGUUAGCAACAAGGUUGCUGCACAAAUAAAAUACACCUUUGUUAUGAUUCUAAUAGAUAUUUACUUUAUGAACCUUGUGUUUUGUUUACUUACAGUUUCAAGUUUGGUAAGCUGACCCAUGGAGGGAGACUACCAGACAAAUCAUUGUAUGAAACAUCUCUGAGAUAAUAAAAGAAAAAAGAUUUAGAAUCUACAGAAUAUGUUAAAUACUCCACAAAAGAUGUCUGAAUAUAUAUAUCUUGAGUCUGGCUUUCAAAGAUGAUUAAUUAAUUAUAAAAGACAAAACCCACAUAUCGCUCAAACCCUGGCUCUUUUGAGUCGGCAAAGAACCAUUCAACGUGUUGUUUCCCAGAAACCUAAUAAGAAGACAACAAAUUUUUUCAACAGUUAUCACUGGUAGAUACGAGUGCAAAAGAGUCAAAGACCCAAAAAAGUAGAAAACUUACAAGUAAGUAAGUUGAUUUAAAUUGAAAAGCGAAGCAGGAAUUGGUCCAUGCAGUUGGUUGAAACUCAAAUCACUGUAAACAGCCAUGAAUUACGCGGUAACACAUUAAGUUCAAUGAUGGGAAAAAUGGGAAUUCAGCAAUGUUAUACUUACACUUGUUCAAGAUUUGAGAAUUCCCCGAUAUUAGAGGGUAUGGUCCCAGUGAGGUUGUUGUUCCUCAAUACUCUGCGACACAUAGCAUCACAUAUUAUGAUAUACACGCAAGAGAAUGAGAGGGAAACAGUUCAUGACUUAGAGUAGACUUUGCCUUACAAUAUUCUUAGAGAUUUCAUGUCUUUGAUGAAGUCAAGAGAAGAGCUACCAUUGGAUAUAUCACCAAGCCUCCUACAUUUAGAAACGGAUUAUGUGGAGAGAAACAAAGAAAAAGAUAUGAACAAUAAUGAUUUCUGAAACCUAGGCAACACAUACAGUUCAUUCAAAGAAGUUAAGUUGGAAAAUGAAGACGGUAUUGGACCACUCCAGCCUGUUCCGUGAAUUCUCCUGAGGUAAAACAUGUACCAGUUUGAAUCUCAAAACUCAAAAUUAAUGAGGCCUUUUCUAAUAAGAGUAGAAGUAAGUAUAGCAAACAAGAGCAGUGGAACAAGUCCGUUACAUAAUUCAAUGAAAAUGAAAUCUUCUUACAUGGUGAGAAGUUUGGUCCAUGAUCCUAUAAAGUCCGGUAUCCGACCAGUAACGUCCAGAUCGACAAUCCAACUGGUACGAACAUUAAGGAAAAAACACCCCACGCCAAAACCAAAAUUAAUGUAAUAUAUAUAUAUAUAUAUAAAUGUAGAAAUAAAAUAAUAAAUCUUAAUUAUAUGCGAAUUUAAUGAAAAUAAAAUCUUACAGGUCUUCAAGUUCUACAAGAUUAGCAAAAGAUGAAGGUAAUCCCCCUUUAAGUUCAAAAUUUCCCAGGUAUCUGAAAUAAAAUAUAUAAAGGUUUAUACAACACUAUAGAAUUAUUGAUUUUUUUUCACAUAAUAUAAUUUUGUAAGGUUACUAAUUAAAUUUUCAUAUCUGAACUAAAACCACGGCAGAAAUGAAUACAUCAAAAGUACUUUGUACAUUCUCACAUUUUCAUUAGUUUUGUACAAUUCCCAAUCUCAGGUGGUAUUGAACCGGAAAACUUAUUUACACCAAAACCACUGCAUGCAGAAAAAAAUAUACAAAAUAGGUUUAAUAUUAAGGAGGCAUCAAACUCUGACAUUUAUGAUAUUGUUAAUAGUUCCUAAUUGUUAAGAAGAAGCUUACAGAGAUUUCAAGUUUGUAAGCAAACCAAUUUCUUUGGGAAAAGGGCCAGACAAGGCAUUGAUACCAAAAGUCCUACGGUAGUCGAAAAACAGUUGAAGGCAAUAAAGAGUUAUGUUAAGAAAAAAAAAAAAAGAAGGAAGAAGAAGGUUUCAUUCAAUCAACAGCCUUACAGCCAUUCCAUUCGAGUCAAGUUUCCAAUUGCAGGAGAAAUGGAGCCUGUAAGAUAAUUUUGAGCCAGAUUCCUGAAAAAGAGGCAUGUGAUUUUAACGUAUACGGAAUGCUUUUGCACGCUCUUUUUUUAUGGUGAUAAGAAAAUGAAAAAAGUAAGUUCAAAAAAAAGAAAAUGAAAAAAGUUAAAGGUAAAGUGUAUACAAAUUUUCGAGGUAUAUCAAAGUCCAGAGCUGUGGAGGUAUAGGUCCUACUGCAUCUUUCCCAAAAACCUUUCUGUAACAGCAUGGCAAUAUUAAGUGGGUGAAUGCACGAAGACAAACAAAAAAAGAGAGACUGUACUGUACAGGGCCGUGAUGCGGCAGAUUGUGGAGCUGUUGAAUGUGCAGUCGCAUUUGAUAAAAGGGUUGUAGGCUGGGUCGUCGAUCUUGAUGUUAUCGUCGAUGGCGGGGCCCGAGCAAAGUUCGCUGCUCGUGUUCCAUUCCCUCAGCCUCAGGAUCUUCCAAGCCGCGAAGAUGGAGUUCAAAGCUUCAGCUGUUGUUUAUUAUCCCACAACAAACGUCAGUUGUUCUUAAACCAAACAACUUCAAAUUAAUUAUUUUAAAGUGUUAAACGGCAGAGUAGAGACCUUCGUCGGGAUCAGUUAUGGCUCGGGUAAGGUUUUGAGCUCGAACAAGGUGAAGCGAACCGGGGAUACACAAGAGGAACCAGACGAUGAGGAGCAGACACGUGGGCAUCAUCGUCGAAGGAAGUUUUGAUAUCUCUUCUUCUUGGGUUCACAAUAAUGGUUUUCUGUCUAUCUUAGUACACUGAAAGCUUAAGUUUUGCGUGUGCAAGUCUCCUUAAAUGUUGUGUUAAAUUUGUUUUCUUUAAAAAGUUAUUUAUAUUCAUUGACUUGACAUAUAUAUAUAUCAACCAAUAAAUGGAUAAUUAUACCGAUAGACGGACGCCACCGAAAUUUCCUAUACAUUAUUUGCGAAGUGAUUUGCCACAUACUAUCUUUAUCACUAUUUUUGCAAAACAAAAUAUGACAUGUCUAGUAAAAUUGAUGACAUGACUAACUGUUAAAUAUGACAUGAACAUUUACAUUUAAUGUUAAUAUAUAUUUUUGGUAAACUUUAUAAAAUAUUUUAAUAAUUCAUACAUUACAUUUAAUGUUGAUUUAUAUUUUUGGUAAACUUUUUAUAAUAUUGUAAUAACUCAUAAACAUCACAAAAUAAAUAUAUUCAGAUAUGACAUUAUAAAUUUUGAGAUAUUAUUUAAUUUUAUUUUUAUAAUUAUACCAUUUUUUAAUAAAAUUUUCAGAAUUUUCUAGAAUUAUUUUUUAAAAAAUUAUAAUUUUUUAAUAGUAAUAUCAUUAGUUUGUUGGACUUUUUCAAAUAUAACUCAAAAUUUUAAGUCAAAUACAAAUAUGACCCAUGUUUUUUGAAUUUUUUUUUGAGUAAUUGGCGUAGAUACACCCAGAAACCCAUGUAAUUUGCCAUAUAACCUUGUUUCUUUUUAAUAUUUUUAAUGACUAUAAUACCCUUAUUCCUAUCUCUCUCUCUCUUCUCCCUUUUAUGUGUUCUAAUCUCUUUAUCUCUCGUACAAAUUCUUCAAAUCAUCUUCUAAUUCAACACAAAUCUUUAUUUUUUUAUUCUGAUUCUUUUGACACCCAUAAUGCUAAUCUUAUUAUCUCACCACAAUUCCAAUGUUUCUAAUUUCGAAUCACAAUCAACUUUUAGAUAAUAUAUACGUUAGCAGGUAUUUUAUUACUUACCUGAUAUUAUUUAGAUUUUAAUGGAUUCUUAAUCGAUACAUGAAGUGUUAGCUGUUACAAAUAGAUUUGGAGCUAUUUAAUAGAUAACUAAUUAAGUGUUAAUAGUUUCAUUAACUGAUAUAUGAUUUGUUAGUCGAUACAUUUGUUUGAUACAUAGAUUGUUAGAUGAUACGGAAAUUAUUAGCGGAUAUGUUAGUUGGUAUGUAGAUUGUUACCUGCUAUGUAAAUAUUUAGCUGAUAGAUCUAGAGUUACUUGUUUUCGACAAAGCAUAAGGAUAUUUUCGUCCGCACAGUGUCAAAAUAUUACUCCUUUUUGGGUUAUCCAUAAUUAUGGGUAUUCAGCUAAUUUGGACCUUCAUUAGGGAUAUUCUACACAUUGUCUCUUUUUUUUUACCAUAUUCACCUUAGAAGUUUGAGUUAUUCACGAAAAUGCCAUUACAUUUUUUUUCUUUCUUUUUCUGAAAAUGAAUAUAUUACCUUAUAAUCCUCAUCUUCACCCAAAAUUUACAAUAUUGUUAUUGCCAUCAAUACACCAACCACCAUUUCAAGCUCUUAAUGCACCAAAGUUUUGAUUUUUACUUUUCAUAUCUCAUUACCUAUGAACACAAAUCACAUCUCGUUCUCUUUCUUUUUAAAUUCAUCCAAAAAACCAAGAUUUUAAUUCUAAACUUUGUAAGAUUCAUAGAGACAUUGAAGCUCUUGAUCCUUGGUCAUUAACCGAUGUUGUAGCUUUUGUAAUGAAGUUAUGGGUGCUUGGAGAAGCUAAGCAAGUCAUCUCACAGGUUCUAGGUAUGAAAUCGUUUUUUAUUUUCAGAUAUGUUCGCGAAGACUUUCAGAAGACUUCAAGAAAACUUUCAGAAGACUUCUCUAGAUGUGUUCUCCAUCAAGAAAACUUCCUUAGAAAUCUUCUAAAUUUCCUUUGUUAAGAAAAAAAACGAAAAAUCCGGAGAAGUCUUCUCGGAUAAAUAAGUUAGUUUUUCAAUUGACCGAAGUUUGUCAGAAAAUUUCUCGAAGUCUUUUCACUGUCGCAAGAAGUCUGCGUGAAUUACUUUUGCAAUUGAAAAAUUUCCUGAAGUCUUCUCACCGCAGAUAUGGGAACCGUGGUGGACACGGCUAGAUGCAUUUGUUUCCUAAUUAAUAAUAUGUAUCAGAUUUCUGAUUCAAUUUUUCUGGUUUUAUUAUAUGCACCCUUUUCUUUUGUAAUUACUUGUUCAAAACUGUAUGACUUUAGUCAUAGCUUGUAGCUUUUUAAUAAUAAAUUUCAAGAAAAAAAAAUCAAAAUUGGUCUUUAUAGGUUUGUUCAUGUUUGGUUUUCAGGUUCGAGUAAAACGACUACGAAAAAAUUCCCAAAACAAAAUAAACCAGGUUCACACAUGACUUUUAAUCCGAUCAAACACAUGAAUAACAUAAAGGUUUUUAAUAUUAAUAUUGUAGAUAUUACAAUAUAUUAUAAAUAUAUUUCACAUUCAACAAGAAAACAGCAUAGCAACUAGGGUUUUUAUUUCAUAACUUUAAAUUUUCCUUUAAGCGAUUUCAUUGCUUUUUGCCAAUAUCAAUUUUUCCCCCUUGUAAUCGAUCGAGAUCAUUCUAAUAUACGUUCUUUUUAGAGUCUAUUUUCUGUGUUUGAAGUUUAUCUAAGAUUAUUUUUAGGUCUAGAUAUGUUUUAAAGCAAGGUGAAGAUUAUAUAGUAUUUAAAAACUUAUGGAGGAAGAAAAUCGUAGCAGUUUAAGAAAUCAAAAGUCAGAUGUCAGAGUCGAAAUUUAGAAGAAGCGUCUAUCGACACCCCUUCCUUAUUGUCGUCCGACACCCACACGAGUAGACGGACCCGACUUGAUUCAAUACCAACUCAAUCUCAGAAGUUCCACAUAUUACUAAAAUGGCCUUGGCCGGCUUUAUCUAAUAUUUGUAGGUUUUGCCAUUUUUUAGGCAACAUAUCACCUUAUACAUAUUUACAAUAUCAUAUUAUUUAGGGCAUUUAUAUAAUAAAAUUAGAUUUUAGAUAAAGUUUUAAAAUCUAAAAUAAAUAAAUAUAAUUUCGAAUGUAAUCAAAUAAAAAGUGUUAUUAGUGAUAGAUAACUAUAAAGUUGAUAAAUGAAUAUCUGAAGAACUAAGAGAAAAAAAGAGAGAAACCAUUGAAAUAAAUCACAACUGAUUUUGAGCUUACAGGAAAAAAUGAGGUAAACCACUAGAAAUGGUUUUAUAUAAACUCACAAUAUCAAAUAGAAAUCUAAAUAUUGUUUUAAACAUCAAACUGUCGGCAAAGUAAAUAGAUAAAACACGAAUUUAUAAUUAGCGUACUAGGCACGGCAAUGAGUGAAUCAAAACAAGUUGUCGAUACUGGUACUAUAAUGAUCCAGUUGCAGAUGGUUCCAAUCCGACACUUUCCAUCAGCUACUGUUUCUUAGAUUUUGUAUUUUUCGUGGCUCUUUCCUCCAAUAAUUUCAACAUUGUUAUCAAGAGAGACCUUGUCGAUAUGCAAAUGUUUUUGUGGAAAUAAAAGACUUUUAACUAAUGGGAAGACAAAAUGGCUUGCCUUAGGGCUUUACAUAUGUUCUAUGCCCACGUUAUCUGGCUCGUCCGUGUGAGCGGGAGUUACAAUUAAUACAUUUCAUUGUGCUGAAAUAAUUGUUGACAUUGAUCUCAAUGAUAUGGAUUUUGACCCUAGUAGUUAGCCCCCAAUUCAUUAGACUCAUGUGUGAUUCUAGCGAGGUAAUGAUAGUUGUUUAAGAGGAGCAACAGCGUAUGUACUGCUUUCGAGAUCGAUGCGUGGAACCUGUCUUGAGAUUUUUAUCGGAUAGUCUCUCGGACGUUUUCAUAUAUAUCUCCUUAUCUCGUCAAGAGCUGAAGUCCUUUGACCGUAGCCACGACCUGCUUGUCUAGGCGGAAGUUGGCUGGACGGUCACUAGUGUGGUGAUCCAUUCUUCUUCUAUAAAUAUGAAACUAAAUUUUCAAUUUUCACUAAAUCACAUAUUCAAGAAAUGUCCUUAAUAGAUUUCUCUUAAACAAAACUGAAAGUUGUAGAAAAUGUAUACUUUUCACGGCCCAGUGGAGACCCAAAUCCAAAACUGGAAUAGUCUCAAAACCUACGGGUGGCUAAUUCAUCUCCUCACAAGAGAACUAAGCCCUAGCUAGCCCACGUGUUCAAUCUCUCAACCAUUCCUCACCUCAGAAUUUUAAUUUCAUUUUGUUUACUUAAAAAAAUACAGAAUAAACCGAAACCAAACCAAAUCAAAUAAGACCACACUUUUGUAGGAAAAAACUGAAAAAGAAAAGAAAUCUUUCUCUUGGACGUCUCUCUUCUACAAUCUCCUCACGAUUCUACUUCUGCGUUAUCCCCAAAAAUUCGCAAGCUUUCGCUUCAACGCAAAAUGGGUCCAAUCGUCAUCACCCAGCUAGCCACAGGUCUUAGCGUCUUAGCCGGUGCGGUUUUAGUCAAAUCGGUUCUUGACCAAAAGCCUAUGGCCGGUGGUCCGUUCCCUCGUUGUCCGACCUGCAACGGUACAGGAAGAGUCACGUGCUUCUGCACUCGAUGGUCUGAUGGAGAUGUUGGGUGUCGUAGGUGUUCUGGUUCGGGUCGUGCGGCUUGUAGCAAUUGCGGUGGUACUGGAACCGGUACACCUUUACCGGUUCGGAUCACGGUUCAGCCACCGAAUCGCCCUUUCUGAUUCCACAUAUUUGUAUAUUUUCUUCUGCUCUCUCUCUCUCUCUCUAUCUGUAUCGUAAGUUGAUUGUAUGUACUUUUGUUUCACAGAAAGAGAAAAUAGGAAUUACUUGAAUCCGGAUUCUUAUCUGUUCAUAUGUAUUAAAAAACAUAGUAAAGAUUUAAAAACUUCAUUUCUUUGAUUUGUAUGAUUAUUAUGCUUACGAACUAUCACUUUGCAUUUUUUUUGUUCUUAUACAAACUUAAAUAAUCAAAGCUAAUAGCCUAUUAUAAACUAGUUUUUUUUUUUUUGAAGUUCUUGAUCGUUAGUUAAAAUGUUUGAAUGCUAUGUUAAGAAAGCAAAACUGCUUCACUUUGUCUUCAUCUACUUAAUAGAGUGCGCAAGUUCAUACAAACAUUAGAAUAAACUUUCCAAAGCCUACAUAACUAGCAGGAAUUCACAACUACAUGCGAUCUGUUACAUCUCAGUUGUACUUGUUAGAGUUGGGCAAUCGGCAGGAACCAAAGCAAACCGAACGGACCAACGGAAAUUUUUGGUUUUCAGUUAAUAUCCAGUUGAAAUCGGUCGGUGUCUUUGAAAUUUAUGGAAGUCUUGCUUUGGUUUGAAAUCUAAAAACCGAUUGGUUUGGUACAUAGCAACUAAAUGAACAGAAUAUAUUGGAUAAACUAACAAAACCUGAAUGAACGGAGAUAAAAAAAAAAAAAAAAAAGGACGAAUUUUAAACGCUUGAUUUUGGGUUUUACGGAAAUGAACUAAAAUAAAAUUUGAAGUUUUGAAGUCAAAUGCAAAAGUAAAUUGUAUUUUCUUUAAAAGAAAAUUAUUUGUCUAAUUCACUCCAUAAAUUUAACUUAUUCACAAAAAUACUAUUUUUUCGAAAAUGAUUGUUUUAUGGCCAAUUUCGUUGUUUUAUUCUAUCAGCAUCAUAUUUCUCUUUUAUAUACAACAUUGUCAUUAUUAUCAAUACAUCAAUUAACAACCAAUUUUCAGCUAUAAAUAUACCUAAAAUUAAGAUAUAUAUAUAUCUUCAUAUAUUCUUUUAGCAAAAAAAAAAUCUUCAUAUAUUCAUUUUUUAUACACACAAACAAUUUCUUUUUUACUUUUUCUCUCGUUUUAAUCUAAAAUCUCAAAAAAAAAAAUUUAUAAGAUUAUUGAAAUUACUCAAAAUUUAAAAUCUGUAUAAAUUUUUUUUUCAUUUUCCCGCGCUGUUAAUACCAGAUAAAGCGCGUAAACGAAAAUAAAAUCCCCACAUUUCGAGAUAUCUACAAAACCCUAAACAAACUUUAUAGUCAAUUCUCUUAAAAAAAAAAUCAAUUACAUGGCGGAAGAAGAAGAGACGACGACACGACCGGAGUUUCCAAUCACAAGAGUGAAGAAGAUAAUGAAAGUCGACAAGGACAUCAACAAAAUCAACUCGGAAGCUCUUCACCUCGUCACUUACUCCACCGAGCUCUUCCUCCGCUUCCUCGCCGAUAAAUCUUCCGUAGUUGCGGCGGAGAAGAGGCGAAAAACGGUUACCCUCGAUCACCUGAGAAUCGCCGUGAAGAGACACCAGCCCACGAGGGAUUUUCUCCUCGACUCGCUCCCUCUCCCUUCCUCUCAGCCCGUCCGAGUCACCAAAACGGCGUCGGAGAAGAAGCCGCCGCCUGCUGGGACCCGUCGCAUCGACGCUUUCUUCAGUAAAGGCAAGGCGAAAGUUGAUUCCCCUUAAAACCCCAAACUUCUUCUUUGCUCCAUGUUUAUGAGUUUUUGUUAUGUUAAAAGUAGUUAAUGUUAUGUUUCAAUCUUCUCUAGUCUCUUGUUAUGCCUAUCUUUACCAAAGUAGAACAGUGUGUGUGUGUCUGAUUGGUGAAGUUAAACAAAAGGAACAAAUGUCUUAUAAGAGUAUACUUGUGGUCAAAGUUUUUCACAAGCAGCUUUAAAAGCAUUGUUCCAUGGCUCUAUAACCAAUAGCAUAGAGAAUCACUUGUACGUAUGAGUAUGACCCAACCUUUAUUUUUCCUGAAACUUUCCUCAACAUCAGAUUGCAUAAACCAAAUUGAUAUGGUUAUGUACAUACCUUGGAACAUCAUUUCCACAUGCUUUACAAACUAAUAUCAGUCCACAAACCGUGGCUCUAGCUGCACACACUCGCUAAGAAUGAUCUCUGAGUCAUUUCCUUCACAAGCACGAUCAUGAAACCUAGCAAGACGAUGAGCUGGAGCUUGAAGGCUAAUAUUCUCAGCAGACCACAGAGUAAACAGCUGCUUCCUUCAGCUCAUCUUCAGGCGUCUCUGUUUUAGACUCCUGCAGAGUUGUCAAACCUAACCUGUUGCUUAUUUGGUGUUUAGAAUCCGCUGAUAGAUAGCACAGUUUGUACCAAAUUAGACUAGACUAUGUUGUGCUAUGCAAUAACAAGCGGUAAGAUCUUAUACCAACAACAUCACUGUCACAUUACUAAACGAGAUAAGACUUUUUGCUGUCUUUCGAAUUAAAUUCAAAAGGAUAAAUGGAACAGAAAAAAUUUAAAGUCAGAAGUGGUCCUAAGAUUAAUAUAUAUAUAACCAAUUGUCCCGUUUCUCAACAAUACACUAGAUGGUGGUCUUAAGCCGUUCUGACUUCGAUAAAUUAUAAACUGUUGUCGAGUCUUUUUUUUGUUAUGGGUUGGAUGCUCUGUCCAAUAUGUGAAUUAUGCAUUGUCAUUCAAGUUUUCAGUUUGUUGAUGAUGCGCACAUCUACAAUGUUGGAAAUGCAAAACAUUCACCAGAGAGUUGUGACAUUUUAACCUUUUCCUAGCAAAUAAACUGAAACCUUCUUUCUCUCCCUUAUGACAACGAUGAACUAGUUUAGUAGUAUUAUUAUCGGUUCAUCACCGUCCGAAUUAAUUGCGAUUCGAAAUUUUCCACGUCUCAUGUCAUAAAUCUAAAACCGGAGAUUCCGUACGCGUCUUCCCUUUUAUAAUCUUUCUGACUAAAGCAAAACAACAAACCGUUUUUAUAUAAAUUUCUGACUAACAAAAUUGAGAAAGAUGAUAUAAUAUAUUUUCUAUUACAAGAGCAUAUUGCUUGGGUGUCUUGUUUUUUUGAGUCGCCCUAUCAUGCUCGAGUUUCAAGAGAGACCAGAAAUAGCAAAUGUCCAAACUUCUAUAUAAAAAUAUAGGAAAACACUAAAAAUAGACCUUUAAACAAAACACAUGAUAUAUCUAUCAUAAAGAUAUUCUCUGAGCAACGGUUGAUGUGUUGUCAUUUUUUCUCAUCUCCAGAAGGAAGCUCGGGAGAUGGGAAGAAAAAAAUGGUGGUUGUUCCUGAACAACGAGAUAAGACACAUCAAAUCUUUUACGCGGUACGAAGUUAAAGAUGAAGAAGCUGCAUUGAUCUUCCCAAAAGAUCCUCCAUGGUUCAAGGUAUGGAUGGUUCCUGUGAUGAUGCUUUUUAUUUUCUUUAUCGUUGUUGUUAUAUUAAUUUGUCGACGUUGUCAAAAUUGUCGCCGUGGCGAAAAUUCUCCCAGCAUCCAUCCUAUCUCCCAGAACACCUAGCUAAUUUGUUUAGAUUUCUUCUUUCUGUCAUAUGUAAAUUGUCCAUGGUGCAAUAUAAAUUCUACAGUUUCACCAUAUAUUUCUGAGCAAAUUGAUCUAAUGAAAAAUAUAAAAGCAGUAUUCAACAAAAUAAGACUAAACGAUUCGGAAAGAGAACAGUAAAAAUGGAAUAAAUAACAAAAAUGUAAGUGGAAAAAAAAAAAUUUCAUUUAAAUUUGAGCAGUGCAGAAGAAAUAGUAAUAAAACAUUCUUACAUUGUAUAUCCAUAUCUCAAAUACAUACAACAAACAAAUAUGACCAAUUAAGAAUUGCAAAUACCCCAUUUACUGUUUUUAAGAAAACUUGUUAGGCUGUUAAUUUCGGAAAAUGUUAGAUCCGUAACAAGGAUUUACAAGAUUUUAAACUAAAACAUCUAGAUGAACUCAUAUUCUUUCAGAUUUUAAUAUGGCUUUCUAAAUAAACAAGAUUUACAUAUAUUUUCUAAGAUAUAAUUAGAUUUCAAAAUUGUAUAUUAAACAAUAUCAAAUUUGUAUUCAAUAAUAUAUAAUUGCAAAAAAUAUUAAAAUCAUUGGUUAGAUUAUACACGAGUAUUGGUUUUGGAUUUGAAAUCUAGGUACAUUCAUCAAUCCAAUAAAAUCAUCUUAAAAUGAGUGUUUGAUAUUUCUACUCUCGUUAUAGCAGAUUCCAUUAUAUAAGAUAAUUUUUAUUAUGAGAAAAGUGUUGUCCACCUCUAAUCCACCACAUAUCUAUACAGCCGACCAUUUUAGUGGAUCUUGGAGAUUUAUAGGUCACUUCUGUCAUUUUAUAAUAAUAACCUAACGAUUUGUUAUGUGCCUAAACAGAGAUUUUGAGUAUCUAGAAAAAAUAGCUUUGUGUUGCAUUGCAUUUGAUUGUCGUAGCAUAUUUGAUUUAUGAAAGCACUGUGGCCUAAUGAUCAAGGUUUAAAGGUUUUUAUACCGGAUUUGAGUUUCGGUUUCCAAAUGAUACAAGUUUUUGCAGAUUUUGAAUGCAAAGCUUAUAGGACAAAUCCAAAAUAAUACUUGCAGAGUAGUUCGUUGUUCGGUGGUUAUUGGGUGUGGAAAUAAUCUGUCCAUAAAAGACGUAAUAUACAUGCAAAACAUCGUGCAUGGAAGCAUUGUUCGAAAAAUUGUUCAUCUAUAUUGCAUAUAUUUCAGAUAGUUGAUUGAUCGUCAUAUGUAAUAUAUUAAAAAUUAUAUGAUGAUGUGUUUGACAUUUGACCUGUGUUAAAAAAAAAAAAACAUAUUUGAUUUAUGAUAUUUCAAUUGUCCGGCAGUGUUACAAUAUUUUGAAUUCGGCUCAUAUGCAACACGAUUCAACCAUAUUUCGUAAUAAAGUAUUAUUGCUUAUUUCUAAGCAUAUAAUGUGUUUAUAGUGGUUGUUAGUGUCUAAAGUGGGUGUAUAGUCAGAUGUUGAAAAUUUUGUAUUAGAAUGAGUUGCGUAUACGUCCAAAAAAUACCGGCAAACACAUGGAGAGAUGUCCACCAUAUGUUUGUUUGAUAUCUGACUAUGAAUCCCAUUCGGCCACACUAACUUUUGAUCUUUAUAUAUACAUAUUCCUUUGUCAAUGCGAAUUAGACUUCAGUAUAAGUUCGUACUGAACAAGAUAAGGAGAAAACGAGAAUGAAAGUGGACACAGACAGUGUUUUAGUGCCCUUGAGUGUGUUCAUAGCAGUAGGAUAUCAUGUCUUCCUCUGGAACACCUUCAAGCACAAUCCUUCCCGUACUUCUCUUGGCAUCGAUUCCUCCAAACGCAAAUCUUGGUUCCGUGACAUCAAAGAGGUUAUCUCUUGUUUACCGAGUUGUUAUGUUAACAAAACCGUUUGUAUUAUAAUGAGGCCUUUUCUAAUAAGAGUAGAAGUAAGUAUAGCAAACAAGAGCAGUGGAACAAGUCCGUUACAUAAUUCAAUGAAAAUGAAAUCUUCUUACAUGGUGAGAAGUUUGGUCCAUGAUCCUAUAAAGUCCGGUAUCCGACCAGUAACGUCCAGAUCGACAAUCCAACUGGUACGAACAUUAAGGAAAAAACACCCCACGCCAAAACCAAAAUUAAUGUAAUAUAUAUAUAUAUAUAUAAAUGUAGAAAUAAAAUAAUAAAUCUUAAUUAUAUGCGAAUUUAAUGAAAAUAAAAUCUUACAGGUCUUCAAGUUCUACAAGAUUAGCAAAAGAUGAAGGUAAUCCCCCUUUAAGUUCAAAAUUUCCCAGGUAUCUGAAAUAAAAUAUAUAAAGGUUUAUACAACACUAUAGAAUUAUUGAUUUUUUUUCACAUAAUAUGAUUUUGUAAGGUUACUAAUUAAAUUUUCAUAUCUGAACUAAAAACACGGCAGAAAUGAAUACAUCAAAAGUACUUUGUACAUUCUCACAUUUUCAUUAGUUUUGUACAAUUCCCAAUCUCAGGUGGUAUUGAACCGGAAAACUUAUUUACACCAAAACCACUGCAUGCAGAAAAAAAUAUACAAAAUAGGUUUAAUAUUAAGGAGGGAUCAAACUCUGACAUUUAUGAUAUUGUUAAUAGUUCCUAAUUGUUAAGAAGAAGCUUACAGAGAUUUCAAGUUUGUAAGCAAACCAAUUUCUUUGGGAAAAGGGCCAGACAAGGCAUUGAUACCAAAAGUCCUACGGUAGUCGAAAAACAGUUGAAGGCAAUAAAGAGUUAUGUUAAGAAAAAAAAAAAAAGAAGGAAGAAGAAGGUUUCAUUCAAUCAACAGCCUUACAGCCAUUCCAUUCGAGUCAAGUUUCCAAUUGCAGGAGAAAUGGAGCCUGUAAGAUAAUUUUGAGCCAGAUUCCUGAAAAAGAGGCAUGUGAUUUUAACGUAUACGGAAUGCUUUUGCACGCUCUUUUUUUAUGGUGAUAAGAAAAUGAAAAAAGUAAGUUCAAAAAAAAGAAAAUGAAAAAAGUUAAAGGUAAAGUGUAUACAAAUUUUCGAGGUAUAUCAAAGUCCAGAGCUGUGGAGGUAUAGGUCCUACUGCAUCUUUCCCAAAAACCUUUCUGUAACAGCAUGGCAAUAUUAAGUGGGUGAAUGCACGAAGACAAACAAAAAAAGAGAGACUGUACUGUACAGGGCCGUGAUGCGGCAGAUUGUGGAGCUGUUGAAUGUGCAGUCGCAUUUGAUAAAAGGGUUGUAGGCUGGGUCGUCGAUCUUGAUGUUAUCGUCGAUGGCGGGGCCCGAGCAAAGUUCGCUGCUCGUGUUCCAUUCCCUCAGCCUCAGGAUCUUCCAAGCCGCGAAGAUGGAGUUCAAAGCUUCAGCUGUUGUUUAUUAUCCCACAACAAACGUCAGUUGUUCUUAAACCAAACAACUUCAAAUUAAUUAUUUUAAAGUGUUAAACGGCAGAGUAGAGACCUUCGUCGGGAUCAGUUAUGGCUCGGGUAAGGUUUUGAGCUCGAACAAGGUGAAGCGAACCGGGGAUACACAAGAGGAACCAGACGAUGAGGAGCAGACACGUGGGCAUCAUCGUCGAAGGAAGUUUUGAUAUCUCUUCUUCUUGGGUUCACAAUAAUGGUUUUCUGUCUAUCUUAGUACACUGAAAGCUUAAGUUUUGCGUGUGCAAGUCUCCUUAAAUGUUGUGUUAAAUUUGUUUUCUUUAAAAAGUUAUUUAUAUUCAUUGACUUGACAUAUAUAUAUAUCAACCAAUAAAUGGAUAAUUAUACCGAUAGACGGACGCCACCGAAAUUUCCUAUACAUUAUUUGCGAAGUGAUUUGCCACAUACUAUCUUUAUCACUAUUUUUGCAAAACAAAAUAUGACAUGUCUAGUAAAAUUGAUGACAUGACUAACUGUUAAAUAUGACAUGAACAUUUACAUUUAAUGUUAAUAUAUAUUUUUGGUAAACUUUAUAAAAUAUUUUAAUAAUUCAUACAUUACAUUUAAUGUUGAUUUAUAUUUUUGGUAAACUUUUUAUAAUAUUGUAAUAACUCAUAAACAUCACAAAAUAAAUAUAUUCAGAUAUGACAUUAUAAAUUUUGAGAUAUUAUUUAAUUUUAUUUUUAUAAUUAUACCAUUUUUUAAUAAAAUUUUCAGAAUUUUCUAGAAUUAUUUUUUAAAAAAUUAUAAUUUUUUAAUAGUAAUAUCAUUAGUUUGUUGGACUUUUUCAAAUAUAACUCAAAAUUUUAAGUCAAAUACAAAUAUGACCCAUGUUUUUUGAAUUUUUUUUUGAGUAAUUGGCGUAGAUACACCCAGAAACCCAUGUAAUUUGCCAUAUAACCUUGUUUCUUUUUAAUAUUUUUAAUGACUAUAAUACCCUUAUUCCUAUCUCUCUCUCUCUUCUCCCUUUUAUGUGUUCUAAUCUCUUUAUCUCUCGUACAAAUUCUUCAAAUCAUCUUCUAAUUCAACACAAAUCUUUAUUUUUUUAUUCUGAUUCUUUUGACACCCAUAAUGCUAAUCUUAUUAUCUCACCACAAUUCCAAUGUUUCUAAUUUCGAAUCACAAUCAACUUUUAGAUAAUAUAUACGUUAGCAGGUAUUUUAUUACUUACCUGAUAUUAUUUAGAUUUUAAUGGAUUCUUAAUCGAUACAUGAAGUGUUAGCUGUUACAAAUAGAUUUGGAGCUAUUUAAUAGAUAACUAAUUAAGUGUUAAUAGUUUCAUUAACUGAUAUAUGAUUUGUUAGUCGAUACAUUUGUUUGAUACAUAGAUUGUUAGAUGAUACGGAAAUUAUUAGCGGAUAUGUUAGUUGGUAUGUAGAUUGUUACCUGCUAUGUAAAUAUUUAGCUGAUAGAUCUAGAGUUACUUGUUUUCGACAAAGCAUAAGGAUAUUUUCGUCCGCACAGUGUCAAAAUAUUACUCCUUUUUGGGUUAUCCAUAAUUAUGGGUAUUCAGCUAAUUUGGACCUUCAUUAGGGAUAUUCUACACAUUGUCUCUUUUUUUUUACCAUAUUCACCUUAGAAGUUUGAGUUAUUCACGAAAAUGCCAUUACAUUUUUUUUCUUUCUUUUUCUGAAAAUGAAUAUAUUACCUUAUAAUCCUCAUCUUCACCCAAAAUUUACAAUAUUGUUAUUGCCAUCAAUACACCAACCACCAUUUCAAGCUCUUAAUGCACCAAAGUUUUGAUUUUUACUUUUCAUAUCUCAUUACCUAUGAACACAAAUCACAUCUCGUUCUCUUUCUUUUUAAAUUCAUCCAAAAAACCAAGAUUUUAAUUCUAAACUUUGUAAGAUUCAUAGAGACAUUGAAGCUCUUGAUCCUUGGUCAUUAACCGAUGUUGUAGCUUUUGUAAUGAAGUUAUGGGUGCUUGGAGAAGCUAAGCAAGUCAUCUCACAGGUUCUAGGUAUGAAAUCGUUUUUUAUUUUCAGAUAUGUUCGCGAAGACUUUCAGAAGACUUCAAGAAAACUUUCAGAAGACUUCUCUAGAUGUGUUCUCCAUCAAGAAAACUUCCUUAGAAAUCUUCUAAAUUUCCUUUGUUAAGAAAAAAAACGAAAAAUCCGGAGAAGUCUUCUCGGAUAAAUAAGUUAGUUUUUCAAUUGACCGAAGUUUGUCAGAAAAUUUCUCGAAGUCUUUUCACUGUCGCAAGAAGUCUGCGUGAAUUACUUUUGCAAUUGAAAAAUUUCCUGAAGUCUUCUCACCGCAGAUAUGGGAACCGUGGUGGACACGGCUAGAUGCAUUUGUUUCCUAAUUAAUAAUAUGUAUCAGAUUUCUGAUUCAAUUUUUCUGGUUUUAUUAUAUGCACCCUUUUCUUUUGUAAUUACUUGUUCAAAACUGUAUGACUUUAGUCAUAGCUUGUAGCUUUUUAAUAAUAAAUUUCAAGAAAAAAAAAUCAAAAUUGGUCUUUAUAGGUUUGUUCAUGUUUGGUUUUCAGGUUCGAGUAAAACGACUACGAAAAAAUUCCCAAAACAAAAUAAACCAGGUUCACACAUGACUUUUAAUCCGAUCAAACACAUGAAUAACAUAAAGGUUUUUAAUAUUAAUAUUGUAGAUAUUACAAUAUAUUAUAAAUAUAUUUCACAUUCAACAAGAAAACAGCAUAGCAACUAGGGUUUUUAUUUCAUAACUUUAAAUUUUCCUUUAAGCGAUUUCAUUGCUUUUUGCCAAUAUCAAUUUUUCCCCCUUGUAAUCGAUCGAGAUCAUUCUAAUAUACGUUCUUUUUAGAGUCUAUUUUCUGUGUUUGAAGUUUAUCUAAGAUUAUUUUUAGGUCUAGAUAUGUUUUAAAGCAAGGUGAAGAUUAUAUAGUAUUUAAAAACUUAUGGAGGAAGAAAAUCGUAGCAGUUUAAGAAAUCAAAAGUCAGAUGUCAGAGUCGAAAUUUAGAAGAAGCGUCUAUCGACACCCCUUCCUUAUUGUCGUCCGACACCCACACGAGUAGACGGACCCGACUUGAUUCAAUACCAACUCAAUCUCAGAAGUUCCACAUAUUACUAAAAUGGCCUUGGCCGGCUUUAUCUAAUAUUUGUAGGUUUUGCCAUUUUUUAGGCAACAUAUCACCUUAUACAUAUUUACAAUAUCAUAUUAUUUAGGGCAUUUAUAUAAUAAAAUUAGAUUUUAGAUAAAGUUUUAAAAUCUAAAAUAAAUAAAUAUAAUUUCGAAUGUAAUCAAAUAAAAAGUGUUAUUAGUGAUAGAUAACUAUAAAGUUGAUAAAUGAAUAUCUGAAGAACUAAGAGAAAAAAAGAGAGAAACCAUUGAAAUAAAUCACAACUGAUUUUGAGCUUACAGGAAAAAAUGAGGUAAACCACUAGAAAUGGUUUUAUAUAAACUCACAAUAUCAAAUAGAAAUCUAAAUAUUGUUUUAAACAUCAAACUGUCGGCAAAGUAAAUAGAUAAAACACGAAUUUAUAAUUAGCGUACUAGGCACGGCAAUGAGUGAAUCAAAACAAGUUGUCGAUACUGGUACUAUAAUGAUCCAGUUGCAGAUGGUUCCAAUCCGACACUUUCCAUCAGCUACUGUUUCUUAGAUUUUGUAUUUUUCGUGGCUCUUUCCUCCAAUAAUUUCAACAUUGUUAUCAAGAGAGACCUUGUCGAUAUGCAAAUGUUUUUGUGGAAAUAAAAGACUUUUAACUAAUGGGAAGACAAAAUGGCUUGCCUUAGGGCUUUACAUAUGUUCUAUGCCCACGUUAUCUGGCUCGUCCGUGUGAGCGGGAGUUACAAUUAAUACAUUUCAUUGUGCUGAAAUAAUUGUUGACAUUGAUCUCAAUGAUAUGGAUUUUGACCCUAGUAGUUAGCCCCCAAUUCAUUAGACUCAUGUGUGAUUCUAGCGAGGUAAUGAUAGUUGUUUAAGAGGAGCAACAGCGUAUGUACUGCUUUCGAGAUCGAUGCGUGGAACCUGUCUUGAGAUUUUUAUCGGAUAGUCUCUCGGACGUUUUCAUAUAUAUCUCCUUAUCUCGUCAAGAGCUGAAGUCCUUUGACCGUAGCCACGACCUGCUUGUCUAGGCGGAAGUUGGCUGGACGGUCACUAGUGUGGUGAUCCAUUCUUCUUCUAUAAAUAUGAAACUAAAUUUUCAAUUUUCACUAAAUCACAUAUUCAAGAAAUGUCCUUAAUAGAUUUCUCUUAAACAAAACUGAAAGUUGUAGAAAAUGUAUACUUUUCACGGCCCAGUGGAGACCCAAAUCCAAAACUGGAAUAGUCUCAAAACCUACGGGUGGCUAAUUCAUCUCCUCACAAGAGAACUAAGCCCUAGCUAGCCCACGUGUUCAAUCUCUCAACCAUUCCUCACCUCAGAAUUUUAAUUUCAUUUUGUUUACUUAAAAAAAUACAGAAUAAACCGAAACCAAACCAAAUCAAAUAAGACCACACUUUUGUAGGAAAAAACUGAAAAAGAAAAGAAAUCUUUCUCUUGGACGUCUCUCUUCUACAAUCUCCUCACGAUUCUACUUCUGCGUUAUCCCCAAAAAUUCGCAAGCUUUCGCUUCAACGCAAAAUGGGUCCAAUCGUCAUCACCCAGCUAGCCACAGGUCUUAGCGUCUUAGCCGGUGCGGUUUUAGUCAAAUCGGUUCUUGACCAAAAGCCUAUGGCCGGUGGUCCGUUCCCUCGUUGUCCGACCUGCAACGGUACAGGAAGAGUCACGUGCUUCUGCACUCGAUGGUCUGAUGGAGAUGUUGGGUGUCGUAGGUGUUCUGGUUCGGGUCGUGCGGCUUGUAGCAAUUGCGGUGGUACUGGAACCGGUACACCUUUACCGGUUCGGAUCACGGUUCAGCCACCGAAUCGCCCUUUCUGAUUCCACAUAUUUGUAUAUUUUCUUCUGCUCUCUCUCUCUCUCUCUAUCUGUAUCGUAAGUUGAUUGUAUGUACUUUUGUUUCACAGAAAGAGAAAAUAGGAAUUACUUGAAUCCGGAUUCUUAUCUGUUCAUAUGUAUUAAAAAACAUAGUAAAGAUUUAAAAACUUCAUUUCUUUGAUUUGUAUGAUUAUUAUGCUUACGAACUAUCACUUUGCAUUUUUUUUGUUCUUAUACAAACUUAAAUAAUCAAAGCUAAUAGCCUAUUAUAAACUAGUUUUUUUUUUUUUGAAGUUCUUGAUCGUUAGUUAAAAUGUUUGAAUGCUAUGUUAAGAAAGCAAAACUGCUUCACUUUGUCUUCAUCUACUUAAUAGAGUGCGCAAGUUCAUACAAACAUUAGAAUAAACUUUCCAAAGCCUACAUAACUAGCAGGAAUUCACAACUACAUGCGAUCUGUUACAUCUCAGUUGUACUUGUUAGAGUUGGGCAAUCGGCAGGAACCAAAGCAAACCGAACGGACCAACGGAAAUUUUUGGUUUUCAGUUAAUAUCCAGUUGAAAUCGGUCGGUGUCUUUGAAAUUUAUGGAAGUCUUGCUUUGGUUUGAAAUCUAAAAACCGAUUGGUUUGGUACAUAGCAACUAAAUGAACAGAAUAUAUUGGAUAAACUAACAAAACCUGAAUGAACGGAGAUAAAAAAAAAAAAAAAAAAGGACGAAUUUUAAACGCUUGAUUUUGGGUUUUACGGAAAUGAACUAAAAUAAAAUUUGAAGUUUUGAAGUCAAAUGCAAAAGUAAAUUGUAUUUUCUUUAAAAGAAAAUUAUUUGUCUAAUUCACUCCAUAAAUUUAACUUAUUCACAAAAAUACUAUUUUUUCGAAAAUGAUUGUUUUAUGGCCAAUUUCGUUGUUUUAUUCUAUCAGCAUCAUAUUUCUCUUUUAUAUACAACAUUGUCAUUAUUAUCAAUACAUCAAUUAACAACCAAUUUUCAGCUAUAAAUAUACCUAAAAUUAAGAUAUAUAUAUAUCUUCAUAUAUUCUUUUAGCAAAAAAAAAAUCUUCAUAUAUUCAUUUUUUAUACACACAAACAAUUUCUUUUUUACUUUUUCUCUCGUUUUAAUCUAAAAUCUCAAAAAAAAAAAUUUAUAAGAUUAUUGAAAUUACUCAAAAUUUAAAAUCUGUAUAAAUUUUUUUUUCAUUUUCCCGCGCUGUUAAUACCAGAUAAAGCGCGUAAACGAAAAUAAAAUCCCCACAUUUCGAGAUAUCUACAAAACCCUAAACAAACUUUAUAGUCAAUUCUCUUAAAAAAAAAAUCAAUUACAUGGCGGAAGAAGAAGAGACGACGACACGACCGGAGUUUCCAAUCACAAGAGUGAAGAAGAUAAUGAAAGUCGACAAGGACAUCAACAAAAUCAACUCGGAAGCUCUUCACCUCGUCACUUACUCCACCGAGCUCUUCCUCCGCUUCCUCGCCGAUAAAUCUUCCCUAGUUGCGGCGGAGAAGAGGCGAAAAACGGUUACCCUCGAUCACCUGAGAAUCGCCGUGAAGAGACACCAGCCCACGAGGGAUUUUCUCCUCGACUCGCUCCCUCUCCCUUCCUCUCAGCCCGUCCGAGUCACCAAAACGGCGUCGGAGAAGAAGCCGCCGCCUGCUGGGACCCGUCGCAUCGACGCUUUCUUCAGUAAAGGCAAGGCGAAAGUUGAUUCCCCUUAAAACCCCAAACUUCUUCUUUGCUCCAUGUUUAUGAGUUUUUGUUAUGUUAAAAGUAGUUAAUGUUAUGUUUCAAUCUUCUCUAGUCUCUUGUUAUGCCUAUCUUUACCAAAGUAGAACAGUGUGUGUGUGUCUGAUUGGUGAAGUUAAACAAAAGGAACAAAUGUCUUAUAAGAGUAUACUUGUGGUCAAAGUUUUUCACAAGCAGCUUUAAAAGCAUUGUUCCAUGGCUCUAUAACCAAUAGCAUAGAGAAUCACUUGUACGUAUGAGUAUGACCCAACCUUUAUUUUUCCUGAAACUUUCCUCAACAUCAGAUUGCAUAAACCAAAUUGAUAUGGUUAUGUACAUACCUUGGAACAUCAUUUCCACAUGCUUUACAAACUAAUAUCAGUCCACAAACCGUGGCUCUAGCUGCACACACUCGCUAAGAAUGAUCUCUGAGUCAUUUCCUUCACAAGCACGAUCAUGAAACCUAGCAAGACGAUGAGCUGGAGCUUGAAGGCUAAUAUUCUCAGCAGACCACAGAGUAAACAGCUGCUUCCUUCAGCUCAUCUUCAGGCGUCUCUGUUUUAGACUCCUGCAGAGUUGUCAAACCUAACCUGUUGCUUAUUUGGUGUUUAGAAUCCGCUGAUAGAUAGCACAGUUUGUACCAAAUUAGACUAGACUAUGUUGUGCUAUGCAAUAACAAGCGGUAAGAUCUUAUACCAACAACAUCACUGUCACAUUACUAAACGAGAUAAGACUUUUUGCUGUCUUUCGAAUUAAAUUCAAAAGGAUAAAUGGAACAGAAAAAAUUUAAAGUCAGAAGUGGUCCUAAGAUUAAUAUAUAUAUAACCAAUUGUCCCGUUUCUCAACAAUACACUAGAUGGUGGUCUUAAGCCGUUCUGACUUCGAUAAAUUAUAAACUGUUGUCGAGUCUUUUUUUUGUUAUGGGUUGGAUGCUCUGUCCAAUAUGUGAAUUAUGCAUUGUCAUUCAAGUUUUCAGUUUGUUGAUGAUGCGCACAUCUACAAUGUUGGAAAUGCAAAACAUUCACCAGAGAGUUGUGACAUUUUAACCUUUUCCUAGCAAAUAAACUGAAACCUUCUUUCUCUCCCUUAUGACAACGAUGAACUAGUUUAGUAGUAUUAUUAUCGGUUCAUCACCGUCCGAAUUAAUUGCGAUUCGAAAUUUUCCACGUCUCAUGUCAUAAAUCUAAAACCGGAGAUUCCGUACGCGUCUUCCCUUUUAUAAUCUUUCUGACUAAAGCAAAACAACAAACCGUUUUUAUAUAAAUUUCUGACUAACAAAAUUGAGAAAGAUGAUAUAAUAUAUUUUCUAUUACAAGAGCAUAUUGCUUGGGUGUCUUGUUUUUUUGAGUCGCCCUAUCAUGCUCGAGUUUCAAGAGAGACCAGAAAUAGCAAAUGUCCAAACUUCUAUAUAAAAAUAUAGGAAAACACUAAAAAUAGACCUUUAAACAAAACACAUGAUAUAUCUAUCAUAAAGAUAUUCUCUGAGCAACGGUUGAUGUGUUGUCAUUUUUUCUCAUCUCCAGAAGGAAGCUCGGGAGAUGGGAAGAAAAAAAUGGUGGUUGUUCCUGAACAACGAGAUAAGACACAUCAAAUCUUUUACGCGGUACGAAGUUAAAGAUGAAGAAGCUGCAUUGAUCUUCCCAAAAGAUCCUCCAUGGUUCAAGGUAUGGAUGGUUCCUGUGAUGAUGCUUUUUAUUUUCUUUAUCGUUGUUGUUAUAUUAAUUUGUCGACGUUGUCAAAAUUGUCGCCGUGGCGAAAAUUCUCCCAGCAUCCAUCCUAUCUCCCAGAACACCUAGCUAAUUUGUUUAGAUUUCUUCUUUCUGUCAUAUGUAAAUUGUCCAUGGUGCAAUAUAAAUUCUACAGUUUCACCAUAUAUUUCUGAGCAAAUUGAUCUAAUGAAAAAUAUAAAAGCAGUAUUCAACAAAAUAAGACUAAACGAUUCGGAAAGAGAACAGUAAAAAUGGAAUAAAUAACAAAAAUGUAAGUGGAAAAAAAAAAAUUUCAUUUAAAUUUGAGCAGUGCAGAAGAAAUAGUAAUAAAACAUUCUUACAUUGUAUAUCCAUAUCUCAAAUACAUACAACAAACAAAUAUGACCAAUUAAGAAUUGCAAAUACCCCAUUUACUGUUUUUAAGAAAACUUGUUAGGCUGUUAAUUUCGGAAAAUGUUAGAUCCGUAACAAGGAUUUACAAGAUUUUAAACUAAAACAUCUAGAUGAACUCAUAUUCUUUCAGAUUUUAAUAUGGCUUUCUAAAUAAACAAGAUUUACAUAUAUUUUCUAAGAUAUAAUUAGAUUUCAAAAUUGUAUAUUAAACAAUAUCAAAUUUGUAUUCAAUAAUAUAUAAUUGCAAAAAAUAUUAAAAUCAUUGGUUAGAUUAUACACGAGUAUUGGUUUUGGAUUUGAAAUCUAGGUACAUUCAUCAAUCCAAUAAAAUCAUCUUAAAAUGAGUGUUUGAUAUUUCUACUCUCGUUAUAGCAGAUUCCAUUAUAUAAGAUAAUUUUUAUUAUGAGAAAAGUGUUGUCCACCUCUAAUCCACCACAUAUCUAUACAGCCGACCAUUUUAGUGGAUCUUGGAGAUUUAUAGGUCACUUCUGUCAUUUUAUAAUAAUAACCUAACGAUUUGUUAUGUGCCUAAACAGAGAUUUUGAGUAUCUAGAAAAAAUAGCUUUGUGUUGCAUUGCAUUUGAUUGUCGUAGCAUAUUUGAUUUAUGAAAGCACUGUGGCCUAAUGAUCAAGGUUUAAAGGUUUUUAUACCGGAUUUGAGUUUCGGUUUCCAAAUGAUACAAGUUUUUGCAGAUUUUGAAUGCAAAGCUUAUAGGACAAAUCCAAAAUAAUACUUGCAGAGUAGUUCGUUGUUCGGUGGUUAUUGGGUGUGGAAAUAAUCUGUCCAUAAAAGACGUAAUAUACAUGCAAAACAUCGUGCAUGGAAGCAUUGUUCGAAAAAUUGUUCAUCUAUAUUGCAUAUAUUUCAGAUAGUUGAUUGAUCGUCAUAUGUAAUAUAUUAAAAAUUAUAUGAUGAUGUGUUUGACAUUUGACCUGUGUUAAAAAAAAAAAAACAUAUUUGAUUUAUGAUAUUUCAAUUGUCCGGCAGUGUUACAAUAUUUUGAAUUCGGCUCAUAUGCAACACGAUUCAACCAUAUUUCGUAAUAAAGUAUUAUUGCUUAUUUCUAAGCAUAUAAUGUGUUUAUAGUGGUUGUUAGUGUCUAAAGUGGGUGUAUAGUCAGAUGUUGAAAAUUUUGUAUUAGAAUGAGUUGCGUAUACGUCCAAAAAAUACCGGCAAACACAUGGAGAGAUGUCCACCAUAUGUUUGUUUGAUAUCUGACUAUGAAUCCCAUUCGGCCACACUAACUUUUGAUCUUUAUAUAUACAUAUUCCUUUGUCAAUGCGAAUUAGACUUCAGUAUAAGUUCGUACUGAACAAGAUAAGGAGAAAACGAGAAUGAAAGUGGACACAGACAGUGUUUUAGUGCCCUUGAGUGUGUUCAUAGCAGUGGGAUAUCAUGUCUUCCUCUGGAACACCUUCAAGCACAAUCCUUCCCGUACUUCUCUUGGCAUCGAUUCCUCCAAACGCAAAUCUUGGUUCCGUGACAUCAAAGAGGUUAUCUCUUGUUUACCGAGUUGUUAUGUUAACAAAACCGUUUGUAUUAUUUUAUUUACGUUUCAAAAAAUCAAAGUUCUAUACUGGUAGAAAAAUAUCAAAGUGCUACGCCUACAUUUUUUUCUGUACAUUUACAAAAGACAGUUAAAAUAUUAGAACUUGUUAAAGAUAAGGCAAAAAUGAUUGCAUUUUUACAAUUAAAACAAUCUUGAUCUCAUCAAGUUUAACUCAGUUUUUAGAAGAGUAACUCGUUUUCUCCAACUAUCUUGAUUAGGUAGGUUUGUUUCGUGAUAGCUUCACGAGUUUCUCCCUCUCGUAUCCCUCGUAGUCUUAUUGUUAAGACAUUAUUUGUUUAAAUCAUUUUUCUCACCUUAUUGAUCAUAUAACGAAAAUGCAGGGUGACGAUAAAACAGGGAUGCUGGCAGUGCAAAGCUUGAGGAACAAAAAAAUGGUUACAAUUCUCACUGCUUCAGUCUCCAUUCUUAUUUUGCUUUCUCUAGCUGCCGUUACUAACAACGCGUUCAAAGCGAGCCACCUCUUCACAACUGCGGACGACAUUGUUUUUGGCUCCAAAAAUCCUACAAUCUUCGUCCUGAAGUAUGCAUCUACCUCUCUGCUUCUUGCAGUGAGCUUUUUCUUCAGCUCACUUGCCGUGAGUUACUUGAUGGAUGCCAAUUUUCUCAUAAACGCGAUUGCUAAAAAGCAUGAAGGAGACUGCGAUUAUGAAUUGACGGGGACUGGAUCGUUUAGGGAGUAUACAAGAUUAGUGUUGGAGAGAGGGUUUUUUAUGGCUAUGAUUGGGAAUAGAGUUAUGUGCGUUUCUGUACCGCUAUUGCUAUGGAUGUUUGGGCCGUUACCAGUGUUUGUGUCUUCACUAGGCCUUGUUUGGGUAUUGUACCAGAUUGAUUUUCCGGCAGUCGCCACAAUUUCCGUUUGUAAAUGAUAAAUUGGAAAAAAAAUCGUACUGGUUGAUUAUUGUUUACAUUCAAAAUAACAAAGAGUUUAAAACCAUUCACACGAUGUUCGUCUGUGCAUUUGUACCCUGAGUUAGAAUGUUGACUAGUUCAAAAGAACUUUUACACCCUUUCUUAAUGUAUGUUAAAUUUAUUCAAUCCAUACAAACACAUUUGUAGAAUAGCUAUAUCAUUGUGUGAAUAGGGAUAAAAAGUUUUUAACUACUUUAAGAAGAUUGUCUCAUCUAGUUGCAAACUAAACUCCCAUAGCUUUGUUGUAUUUUCUGUUAUGAACAAACACAAAUCAAACUUGAAAAAAGUCAAACAACUCAAAAGAAAAACACGAUUGAAGCAAACACCCGUUUAGGGUUUGGAUAUUACUACGUGAGUGAAUAUUGAUUAUUUUUAUGGUUUUUAUUUGGUUAAUUUCAUUUUUUUUGUAGGAAUUUCUAUUUUUGCUUUUUAAAAGUAUUUUUGAAAUUUUAAAAGGAGUAAACUAAAAAUGAUGAGAAAUUGUUUGAAAUACUAUAAGUUGACUACUAUUUUUAAAACACAUUCGUUUACAAAUACUAUAACAUUUGAGUUUAAGACUUAAUGAUUAUUGUUUAGGAUUUAUUAUUUAGGAGGUGGAUUUGGGUUUAUAAAAUUUUAUAAGUGUUUUAUAAAUUAUUCUUAAACAUUAUAUAUAAUUUAGGAGAGUUUUUUUUUCAUCACAGAUUGAAGUUAUUUAUGAAAACGGGUAUAUUUUAAAGGUAAAUUGACUGUAACUCGUUAUGUUUAGUAGAAAUGUCAUGAAUAAAAAGAAUGAAUAUUUUUGGAAUAGGAAAAAAUGGAAUGAUGAAUAAAAUGGAACUGAAACUGUAAUUAUUAAUGUAAUUGUGGAUUCCACUCAUUCCAUUUAUUCAUGAGGGUUUAUUUGUGGAACAAAAUGAAUGAAUUUUACAAAGGAUUUUCAUUUUUGUUUCAUUCCAAAAAUGGAAUAUAUGAAAUUGUUUUGGAAUGAUAUUCAUUGUGACCGAUAAAUAUUUUAUGGAAUGAUGCAUUUCAAACAAAUCUAUUCUACAAAAUUGCAUUCCAGUUACAGGCAAAGAGUCGUAUCAAAUAUAUGAUAAUACAAAAAAAAAUCAGAAAUGAUUUAACAUAUUAUGACUGUGGUUUUUAAAUUAUAUGUGAACAUUUUAGUGGUUUAUAUCCUUAACUAGUACUCCCUCCGUUUUACAAAUAUAAAUUUUUUAGUAUUUUCACACAUAUUAAGAAAACACAUUAAACUACCAUAAUAAAUGUAUUAUUUUCUGUAAUUUUUAAUUUUAUAUAACUUUUUACAAUACUUUAUAUGGUUGAAAACCGAAAAUAGUAGAUAAAAAAAUAUAUAUUUCAAUCGGUUGUUUUUUUUGUAGUUAAAGAUUAGAAGUUGGAGAAAAAAAUAGGAGAUGAGAAAAACAAAUUCAACUUCUUUUUUUUGUCACGUGCCAAUAUUUUGAUUCGUCAUGUGAUUUGAGCUUUAGUAUAUAAGAGAUUUUUAUAUUUUAAAGAUUAUAUAAAAACAAACAAUAUUGUUUUUGUUCGAAUCAUAUGUCAACUCUCAGCGAAUACCAAAUUUCUAAAUUAGUAUUUUAUUCGGACCAUCUCCAAUGGUACUUUAUAAUUUUCUCUAUAUUUCAUUAUAAAAUAGAGUAACUCUAUUAUAGAGUUGGAUUUGCUCUAAUGGUUCACUCUAUAAUAGAGUUACUCUAUUAUAGCGUAAAUUAUAGAAGAAAAAAUAAUGUUUCCUUGGAGAUCUCUCAUACACUGUACUUUCGUUAACUGCAACUUACACAACUUGCUAUCGUAUCAAUUUGGCCACCCACUCUCACUCAUUUUAACAACACUUUCUCACCUCUUCCUUCACACGCAACUUCCUCUACAAAACUCUUUUAAGAUCCUCUCUACACUCAACCUUCUAUUAAGACAUCUCUCUACACACUCGUUUCUUUUAGUUAUCUCUCUGCUGUCUAUUAAGGUCUUUAGUUCUUCUGCUAACUAUGGCGCUUGAAGCUCUAAAUUCACCGAGGAUAGCUUCUCCAGUCCCGACUCUGUUCGAGGAGCACUGGACCAAACGUAAGCGGUCCAAAAGAUCCAGAUCUGAUCAUCUCCACCGUCUCACCGAGGAAGAAUACCUCGCUUUCUGCCUCAUGCUUCUUGCUCGCGACGGCGACCGCCAUCACGUGGAGGAGGAAAAGACCGUUUACAAGUGCGGCGUUUGUGACAAGGUGUUUCUCUCUUACCAAGCUCUCGGCGGUCACAAGGCGAGUCACCGGAAUCUGUCCAGCGGUGGAGAUGUUAAGCCGACGACGCCGUCCGCCGUGAAGUCUCACGUUUGCUCGAUAUGUCAUAAAUCAUUCGCCACCGGUCAAGCUCUUGGCGGCCACAAGCGGUGCCACUAUGAUGGAAGUAGUAGCGUUGUUUCGAAUUCUGAAGGUGUGGGGUCUACUAGCCACGUCAGCCGUGGAUUCGACCUUAACAUCACCCCCGUAAAUGAAUUCUCGCCGGACGAUGAAGUGUUGAGCCCCUUGCCGUCGAAGAAGCUCCGCCUCAAGUAAGGCUUAUUGGAUUCUUAUGUAUAUACCAAAAUUUCCAACUUCACAGAUUCAAAUUUUUCUUAUAAUAUAGUUUUUGUUGAUUCUUUUACCCAAACAUAUACUUGUAAGUUGUAAAGGGCCUGCCACUUUUCAUACUUAAAACAAUAUUAAAUCUAUAAAAAGAAAAAUAGCAAUAGCAAAUAGCAAUAAAAAAAAUGAUCAAACAUUUACAUUCUCUCGUCCCAUACCGAAGUAGCUUUCUUACGUACACUUGGUUUUGUUAAGUAACUUUGACAGCUUAGUGGUGUAGUUGCAUAGCCUGUGUCUCCAAACUGCAUUCCUUUACCUGCAGAUUCGAAGAAAAAGAUCACCAAAAGCUCUUAACUUUGAUAACGGUUCAUAUUAGCGGGACUGAAAUUGAUGCUGUCACCUGCAGAGCAGAAAUUGUGUUUAGGAGUUCUCUGGAAACGUCAAGCAUCUCUUGCUCCUUGAUAUUCACACGAGCAAGGUCUGCUGCCAAGCAACUUAUUUUCUCUACCUGAGAAAAAUGGCUCUCAGUUUUUAGUAUACAAAUACGGACAAAACCCAAUAAAUGUCAGAUACAUUCCUCUACUCACUCCUUGCUAAAAUAAACGAAAACAAAAUGGGUCACCUUUGGCAGCAACAUGCAUAUGGAAGAAGCCAUUGCCUGCAUAACAUCAACUGCUGAAGAAAUGGCAUCUUUAACACUUUGUCCAUUUACCUGCAUAUGAUAGAGUCAGUCAUCAGCACGCAUCCAUCACAUACACUUUUAAUAUAGUAUUUAGGAAAAAAAUGCGUUUAGUUUGAUUAGAAAAGCCAAACCUUUGCCACGCAAUCAACAGGUAGACAAAGCGUGCUGCCUUUCAACCCUUCUGCAGCUCCUACUAAAGAACUCACAUAAUCCCUCUCCACAACAAGCCACUCUUCUAGAUUUCCCAUCUUCACACAUUGUCAAUUUCAAGAAACUUCAAAGAGGUCCCAAAAGAAACAAGAAAAUAGAAACAAUUAAGGCGGAUUAACUUACCUGCCUAUUGAGAAUAAAUAUCAAUUUCAAAUUCAGCUUAAGGCGCUGCGUUUCGAUUCUUUUCGCUCUGACGGAAUCAUACAGCUUAGAGAUGCUUAUCCUUGAGUUGUACAAUCUUUUCUGCAAUAAUAUUAAUCCAACAAUUAUUAUGCUUAACCUAUGAUCAACUUUUUUAAAAGGAUUUGCCAACCUCUGUUGUCAUCUUCUGUGCAGAGAAAACAGGACUUGCUCGUGCAUUAGCAAAUCGCCACUGCAGCAGCCUAUUAUGCAAGAGCUUUAACACGUGAGCAUCAUCUGCAACACCACCAUUCUCUCUGCUCUUCUCUUUCUUUCUCACUCUAAGUGGGCUCACCAUCCUCCCUGAAGGACUAAUCCCUCUGGAAGGGCUUAGUCCCCUGGCGAUGCUGGCUCCCCUAGCACUUGGAGUCAUACCAAACAUCCAAGGUCGAGUAAUCUGCUCAAGCUUUGGAAUCAUCGUGGUGGAAUCUGCUCAAAGAUCUUCCGAGGGAUCAUGGAAUUGGAUGAAUUAUGCAGAGCUCUAGCUACGCUAUUGCAAGAUCCUUUUGGUUUCUUCAACGUUUCCGUGAAGUCUACGCUUCUACUGAGACAGUUAGGUUGGAGAGACGACCUAGGCCAUUGAUCAGAGAGGUUCGACUUUGGCGGCGGCGAUGGAUAUAGCUUUGAUAUGUUCUCAUUCGCUUGAAACGAGGCGAACAAGCUUCUCCCAGAAGUCAACAACAUUCUCUCCGCUGCACCACCACCUCCACGUGAGAGUGUCACCGGCUGUCUCCGCCCCGUCGAUUGCGGCCGGUUUGUAGCCACAGAAGAAGAGGGAGUCGCCGGUCGAUUCGUUCUUGUAACGUUCGGCGAUUCACAUCUCUUAGCUGUCGAGUACGGUGAUGACUGGAGUAAAGAAGAAGAAGAAGAAGAGGUUGGCUCCAGGUAUCGCGAAGCUACAUCUCGCCUUUGUGGGGGGCGAUGAGCAACGGCGCUCGGCAGUUCCAACGGCGGGGGCCUCGUAGCUUUGCUCUGCUUAGGUCUGGCGUUGAAAGAAGGAGUCAUCUCCGACUAAGUUGCAUAAUGUGAGGAAGAUUUGUAUAGGGAAGAUUUUUUCAACGUGUAUAUGGAAAGGGAGUGGAUUAAGUAUAAAUCUCCGGCGAGAGAAUAGAGUGUGGAAGGAGAUUAUUACGCCUGUUUCCUGUGUGACGGCAUAACUGUCGUCGUCGUCUCCUCCUCCUACCUCGCUUUUUGCCUUCCAUUUUUCGACUCUUUCUUUUACUCUUUUCUAUUUCGUUGAAACUAUUUAAACUCAAUUAUGGACACUUGAUAUUCCAAAAACAGAGGACCGUUAGACAAAAAAAUCAUUUAGUAGAAAUAGUUAUUUUCUGUGCAAAUGUUUUAUAAACACUAGAUGAUUAUAUUAAACAAGGUAUUUUACAACAACAAAGAUCAGACAUCAAGGCCGGCGGAAAUAAAGGAUUUCCCUUGAAACUAAGCCGGUAGAAACAAGUUCUCCGGAGAUAAAGCCCUCACCAAGGAAAGCACAUUAAGACAAACUAGAUAAAACAUACAUGGUGAUUAAGAGGUUCAAAGCAAAAGUAAGGAUAAAAGCAAGCUAAAACGAAGAGGAAGAAAGCUCCAAAUCCAUAAACACCAAACUCCAGUCGCAUAUUUGAAGAAGAACAAGAAACCUCCCAUAGUGAAUACGCAUAACAGGUGAACCAGAUAACCUAAGCUUCAAACCGGAGAACAUAACACAGCGUUCUUACUUUUAUCCGGUAACGGAUGACUCGAACUCUCUAAAGGAGUGACAAGGAGACACCUUUGAAGAAGCAAGUGAGAAACGAGGACUCGACCGGACCUCUAAGAUAUAGACAAGGAGUGAAUCGCCACAAACCAUUCAAACAUCAGAUUGAGAAGCAAACGGAUGAAGGAUCAAAAUAGAGAGCAGCCAAAGACAACAACAACAAAGGAGAUAAGGUGCAUGCAACUUGAGGACAAACCACCACCAUUGAUCUUGCAGAUCCAUGAUAUCGAAGAAAAUUAACUUAAAACCGACCAAGAACAGAUCUGAAAAUGGAGCUUAUCACCAUCAGAAUCAACAUGCAAUCCAUCGAAAUAGAACAUAGAACAAAAAAUGAAACCCAACUCCGGUUCUGUGAAAGCAGCCAGAGCCGGUGAAAAAAGAUGAAAGCUUUGAGAAACUUCUAGAUUUAUGAACAUAGUAACAUUAAAAUAUGAGAAGCAUUUCUAUCAUACAUACAACAACACUCAUGUGUUGAACUCAUAGAUAUUUAGAUAACAUACAGAGAGAGGCAUGCCAUGGAAACAUAAACAGCUAAGACUGUACAACCUCGGAGUUUAUUCUUUUGCGAAAUUUGUCAAUAGCCUCACCACACUUGCAGGGGACCCGUCAAGGCUCUCACAAAUUACAACUAUGGUUUUGGAAAUAUUUUAGGUUAUAUAUAUACUGUAUAAUCAGAAUCUUUGGCAAAGAUAUGAACCGAAGAGAUUCCAACAAGCUUUCUUCCUUUGUUUGAUUCGUGCAACACGUGCCGGUGUUGGUGUCGGUUCUUCAAUCUUGUGUAACAGAUUCCACAUAAUGUGUAUGUCUUCGUACUCACAAGAACUCACGUCGUUUUGUAACCUCAAGAGUCCUGCAACACAAGACCAUCACUCAACUAUUUGCCCAAAACAACAUUUUUAAAAAUAUGACUCAUAUCUUAAUUUUAAUCCAAAACCAAAAACAAGAUUCUGAAGGUUAAUCUGAUAUUAUUAACAAAUCAUUAUCAAAGAGUCUCUUUAGCUUAAUAAAACAGAGACAAACAGAGUCCUAAGCUGUCGGAGAAGGGAGGGUGGAGGGAGGAUGGGAGCUUACCACUGUGGCGUAAUCCAACGCGAACGGUGAAACGAUUCCAGAUUCGCCGGGUUGGGAACGCCAUCGUGUUCCACCAUUCUCUCCAUCUGAGGCCGGCCAUUUGAGAGAAAAGAAGAGAGAGAGAGAGAGAGAGAGAGAGAGAGAGAGAGAGAGAGAGAGAGAGAGACUGUACAACAAACCCAACUCCCAAAACUGACGUUACAACCAAUAGGUUCAAUUAAAUAGACGGAAAGAGAGGGAUGUUCUUUUAUAAUUGGUCUCGUAUUAACGAAUUAAUAUCAGCCGUUUCUAUGUUUUAUUCUAAUUAAACAAAAUAUCGUAUGAAUAACUAAUAUUUAAUAGAAUUGUGCAAAGACUUUUGGGUCUUUCUCUUUCUUUGUUCGGACAUCAUAUAAUAGAAAUUCAAUUAAAUUUCUUAUCCUCUUCUAUCCAAUUAAAUAUAUAUAAAAUAAUAUUAAUUUAAUGAAGAAAAUUUUAAUUUGUAUAUUAAAAUUUAAUAUGAUUAAAAGUUUUUUUUUUUUUGCUAAAAUAAUAUGAUUAAAAGUUACUUUUACUAUAGGUGAAGAUUUGGAAUUAAUACGUUAUCUAGACUUUAACGAAAACACCUAAAAUUUAAGUGAUUUCAGAAACAGAUUUUUUUUUUUUUGAAACACUUUUUUUUUGAAACACCCAGAAACAGAUUAUACAUCAAAAAAUAUGAUCCAUAAGAAGUAAUCACAUAUAUAUAGUAUACAAAAAAUAUGGUACAUGUUUUGAACCACGCCUACUUUAAUAAACUAGUAGUUUAAAAUGGUUUCAGUUAUUUAUUUUAUAGGUGAGGAAGUUAAAAGCUUGCAAGUGAAAAGUAGGAGAGGUGGCCAACUUGCUGAACUAACUUCGUCUUUAUGCUUUCGGCAUGCUGAUGUCAUAAACCUCAAUUAGAUUUGCGCCACGUAUCGGAGAAUCAAUAUGGGCCCUUCUUCGAGUGCUUAUGAUUACGACGUUUAUAUAAAACUGUCGGUAGGGAUUGUCCCCACGUGGAAAUCUACUGGUGGCUUCUGAUUUCAAAAUUGUUGGUUAUUUAUUCAUUUUCGGUGGAGAAAUGGAGGAAAACAAAUAUCUAAUGUUUUUUUCUAAAUCAGCAAAUAUCUCGUGUUCAAAUUUUGUUAAAGAAAAAGACAAAAGACAUCACAUAAAUUUUUAAUAAUUGUUUAUUUCUUUGGCCACCAUUGAAGAGGAUGUUUUGUUUGAAAGCAAAAUGACCUAAAACAUGACCUAAGUUCGUUCUGAAAUGUUAAUUAUGUGGUUAACCUCAAUCAAUAUGGCUGGUUACUUGAGGUGGUCUAAAAAUAAAAACAACCAAUAAAACAUUUCUAUGAAAAGAGCAACCAGAUUUAACUAAGUUCUGCAGUUCCAUUUUAUUCCCGAAAAAUAUAUCUAAAAAUCUUUCUUCAGUUCUUGUAUUUCCUCCAACUUUGUCGAUAACUUCUUUAUCAAAUCUUUGUAGUCCAUCCCAAAUUGUUUACAUGGUGAUUGAUGCAUCAUAUUUUCCAUUGUCCAUCGUAACGCUUACAACUCCGUACACAAUGUAGAUUGUCUUCUUCUUUGGUUUCUCAUGACCAUUAGAUGUAUACGUCAAAUGAUGUCUAGCAACAUUUAUCCACAUCCACUAAAAGUUGAGGUAGAGGUCCACAUCCACAUCUAUAAAAAUCAUUCGGUCUUCUCAAAAUCAAAGUACUAUGAAGAGGUUGACGAGCUUGGUAUACUAAGACAAGCAGUUUCUAAGUUGGAACAUUUGAAGAAGAUAUGAUUCACAGCUGCAAACAUAAAAAGAUUGGCAGUUUCUAAGUUGGAACACCAGUAGAGAUAAACAAGAGAGGAGAGCUAUCUAUUUGACUUGAAGAGCAUAAAUAAAAUGAGAAAGAAAUUAAAUAUAAGCUUAGAUCGUCAAAGAGUUCACAACUUCCAUACAAGACCUUAUGAUGAACUACAAUGUCUUCAGCUUGUGUUUUUGACAAGUGAAUCUAUUUUUCAACUAUGCAAUCGCCAUAUUUUCAUAUUAUAAAAAUUUAACAUAAACUCACAGCUUAGUUCUAACUAUCUUUUGAUAGGAAGAAUUAAAAAUCAAAAUCUUCAAAGAACUACCUGCACGGUGAAGGUACUGAUGAUAAUGAUAGUUUAUGAGAGGUUCUUUGUACAAAUGUCUUACUAUUUUGACCAAGUAAGAUACCAAAAUAAGCUAUGUUUUUAGGUUUUUUUUUUUGUCGAUAUCAGUGAAACUUCUGGAACCAUUUAAAUCCAUAAUCUCCCUCGCCCUGUAAACAAAUCCUCAAAUGAGGUGUAACACUAAUGCCACUAGACUAUUAUGUACACUUAGUUGAGCAUUUAAAAUUGAAGGUCAUUACUGGGAAGUUUUGACUUUGGGAGGAGUGUUGAUAACUUUAAAUAAUAGAGAAUGGGAUGGAGAGAAACAGAAGAUGGCGGAGAAGUUUUCGCUUGAUGGAUCUCCUAAACUUGCUGAUAAAUUGAUACUUGGAUCAAGAUGCAAAACUUUUGUUGCAUUUCAGAUACCAAAAAAGAAAACCAAUUAUACUUGUACUAUUAUUUGAUGUUUGAUUCAAGGUUCAAUAUAAUAAAGAGAAUGCGAUUGUGCUUGGUCAAGAAAAGUCAUUCUUGUCAUUGUUCAGCUGUCUGCUUUCGUCUGGUUUGCCAUAUACGUCAAAUAUAUCGUCCAUAUAUAUGCACACGAGCUAUUCAUCAAUGGCUGCAACCAAAAGAUUACACGAUCAAGGUGAGAAACUUCUCAAAUCAUCACACACAAUGAAAAACAAAAGUAAUACGAUAGGUAUCUCUGGUGUUUUACCUGGAGAUGAACGGGCACAUACUUGAAUGUCACAAAAUCACAGACUGGCCAAUACAAAAGUCCAUUUUUCAAUGUAGGCAGAAGAUCCCGCUUCAAUCUUGCCAAAAUUUCCUCAGAAUUUUCACCUUAAUAUGCCAGAACAAAGCUCAUGACCAAGGCAAUCCCACAAAUUUGAAACAGAGAAUAAUACUUCAUAAACAAACCCAUAUAAAGCUUAUGAGAUGUGUAAUACUACCUUGUAAAGCAGCAUUAUAGGAAUAGAAGACCGUGUUGCUAAAAGGUCCGAAAAGAGCCUGCCCCAUCAUUAUUUUCUUAACGGUUGUCAACACAUCACGCUUUGGCAGUAUUCUAGAAAGAUAACUGAACCAAAGAUGCUGUGACGGCCCGAGAAAUAUCAACCCAAAGCUAGCCAUUCUGGCUGUUCUUAUCAGGUCAUAAGAACCAGAUGGCUUCAUCGUGAUCAUCUGCGAUACAAGAAAGGAAGACCAAAAGGGGAGUUUAUAACCACCACAACACACACACCCUUUUAACCUGGCUAAAAUACACAAUUAAUAAUCCAAUCAUUUAACCUAAUCUCACCAUUAAUUACAUUCAUCCUCCAUUAAACCUAAAAUUCACAAUUAAGUAUCUCUCACCUGAGAAGUGAGAUCGGCGGCCAUAUAAAUGAGGGAAGUAGUAACGCUCUUAGUGAUGAAAGGGUGCGACUCCACUUUUUUCAAAUACCACCGUAGAAACGCUGGUUGUUUCGAAGAAGAAACAUUCGUCGAUAGGUUUCGCGACACGAACAAGACACGAGGGACGACGAAGCUCCCGGCCUUGCGGAGGUGGUGAACGGAUCGUCCCAUGAUCGGACCCGAGAACACAGUUUUUGAGAGCGCAUCGUUGAUUCCUCCGUGCAGAGAACGGUAACCGGAGAAUGGAGGCGAGUAUAGACGUUUGCUCAAGGCAAUGAUGUUCAUCACUAAUGAAUGAUCUCCGGUGAUUUUGUUAGUGGCGGCAGCAGCUCCAGACAGCCUUUGACGCUGUUUCUCUCUUUAUGUUCCCCUUAAAACGGCAGCGUAGCGUCCUGGCUCGUAUAUUAGAACGACGCAAUGUGCUUUGGCAGAACCAAUCAACGACAAGAUGUUUACUUUACAAUACCAUUUAGUUCUAGAACCGAUUUUCUUUUCCAAAUAGUAUAUUGAACUAAACCUAAGCCAAGUUCCUAAGGAUUAGAGACAAAUUCAUUAAUCUGAACCUUAAGUAACUCGAAUCCAAGAAUUUUUUUACAUUAAAAAUUGAGAAAUUCUUUAAGGUAGCAUUCUUUAAAUUUUUGUCAUGAAAAUAGUAUUUCAAUGAAAAAAUGACCAAAAGAAGUUUUAUUAAAUGGUAAAAAUACAUUUUCACCUUAAGAUUAACUAACCUAGACUUAGGAUUUAUAGUUAAGAAGUGGAGUUUUGGAAAUAGGGUUUUAAAUUUUUAAAAAUAAAUAUUAAAACUUUUAAAAUAAAAAAAGAUUAUUUUGAUCAUUUUUUUUUAAAUUAUUUUUGUGACAAAAACUUAGAAAAAUAAUAUUCGAAAGAAUUGCCCUUAAAUUUUUUGAACUAAAGUUAAACCAAACCUGAAUUUUGUAUAAACCAAAGUAAAUAAAUAAAUAUAUUAUUUAAUUAACUGAUAUAAAAUAAAGCAUAAUUUUUUACCCCCAACAAAUACAUUUAGAAAUAAUAUAAUUACAAAAAUAUAGUUAUUAAUCCAAAUUCAAAUAAAAUCAAAUCGAACCUGAAUCUUAAUUGUUAAACCGAAUAAAACCUAUUUUCCUAAACCAAACGCAAACGUUAUUAUGGGAAAAGUAAACCGAACGCAAUAAAAUUCGUUGGUUUGGAAUCUGGAUAAAUGAAACCAAACGCAAACGUUAUUACUCUUUUUUAUUUUAUUUUAAUAUAUAAGGACCGAUCUGCAAAUUACCAGUUUUUUUUUUUUUUUUUUUGUCAAACGUCGAGAUUUGUUCAUCUACCUUUUCUCCCGGCGUUUAGCUUAUAUCCUUUCGUGGGCGUUGGAGCUUUAUUAUUAAAAAUCAAUGGAUCCUUCAAUUUUCAAGCUCCUCGAAGAAGACGAGGUUAGGUUCCUUUUAUAUAAAUCUCGUGUGUGGUGGUGAAUUUGAAUCGGGGCGUGUGUUGGUAGGAUGAAUCGAUGCAUUCGGGAGCUGAUGUAGACGCCUUCCAGGCCGCUCUUAAUCGAGAUAUUGAAGGUUCCGCUUCACUCCCCACUGGUAACCCUUUCAAUUACUAGUUGAAUUUUGAAACCCAAAGACUUGAUCCAGAUAGGGUUAUUGGAUACCUAGAGAAGCUUUAUCGGGUAGCUAGCACAUGUUCUUGUUCACGCCAUUAAAGAAAGACUAGAGUUCUUUUAGGCCUUUUUGCUUGUUGAGUCAUUAAAUAUCUGAUUAAUGGAGGUUGAUGCUGUUUCUAGUGCAAGGCAACAGCCAGUCUCCCACUGAACAGUUUACCACAUGGACUAAUGGUAUCCGAGAUUCUACCAUCAAUCUCCAUACGCAACACAGCACCCAUAUGAAGGAGGAACUACAAGGAUCACGUGUAGAAAAUCAACACCAACGCGCUGAUGAAUCUCAUCCUCAAGACCUCCACCAAGCAGGUCAGCGCUGGGAGAAUCCUUCACAGGUGCCCCACCCAACGGAAAAGAAUCUUACUGGUAAUCAAGUGAGUGAAUCUCAGUAUUCGAAACUGCAAAAGAUGAGUAGCCAACAAGCUCGCGGUGUGGAACAGCCUGUUAACCCUAUCAACCGCAACCCUAAGCAAGUUCCAUUUGCUGCUUUGCUUCCUACCUUAAUAUCCCAACUCGAUAAAGACAGAGCUAUGCAGCUCCGUACCCUUUAUUCUAGACUUAAAGUAUGUCUUAUCUGCGAAAAUCACUUGGCGUUCUGUUCCAAAGCUUUUUCAUUUUCAUUGAGUCCCCUCCUCGUACUUGUUUGCAGAAAAAUGAAAUCCCCAAAGAGGGGUUCACACGACAUGUGAAGGAGAUUGUAGGUGAUCAGAUGCUUAGGAUGGCAGUUAGUAAACUACAGCAGGUAACAUCUUUUUUGCGAAUGUAAUACAUUUUGGCUUUGUCCGUUUGAAAUCUUCUGCAUUGCAAUGGAGAAUAAAUUAUUGCUUUUAUUUGCUUGAAUGCACAAAGAAUGGUCAGCGAACCAUUGGAUUAUGUACUUCUAUUAAGAGGAAUAAAGUAUAUCUUUAGCCUUUUUAAGCCAAAUUCCGGUUGUUAUCCUUCAAGAUAUUGUUUAGUGAAAAGAUUUCAGUGAAUGUCACAAUAUUUUUUUUUGCAUCUCUUGGCCUCUUUUGCAAAAUCCUUCACUUUGUAUAAGCUUCACCAAACAUAUCUAGUUUGGCAAAACCUUAUUUUCCUUGAUUUUUGAUGACAACGCAAUGUAAAGAUUAAAUUUUUCACAGUAUAUUAUCUUCCCUUAGGGUAUCAGACUUGCGCCUGGGAUGAUUAAUCAUAUGGUUUUACUGACUUGCGUUUGUCCCACAUUCUUUUAUACGGGAUUUUUACUUGAGUUCCUGAUAGUUUUGGUGUUUUUCCUUUUUGCAUAAGGAUUAACUUUUUCAUGUUUUUUUUUUCUUUUUUCUUUUUGGUUUAGGUUUAAGGUUUUUUCCUUUUUUACGUUAGAUUUAUUAUUGGUUGCUCCUUGGCCUACUAUAUAAGGGGUCUCUUAUGAUCAAUAAGAAAUUAUGUUAAAUUCUUCUUUAUUUGUAAUCUGUGCUCACUGAUUCAGGUGGGUUUAAACCAGGGAAAAAUGGGAAUUCAAGCUCCUACUGGUAUUUUAAUUAUUCACUAAUGCAUUCUUACUUUCACUUUCGCGAGUAUCAUAAAACUUCUAUGCUUCUCGUAGACAAGACUUUUACCGGAUUUAAUCUCUUUAAUCGCAGAAAUCAAUAAUAAAAAAUCUGAGUCUGAUCCUCGUGGAGUCGUCCACCUUAACCAACUUCCGCCGUCAACAGGCAGUUCAGUUCCUGUGCAGGGAUUUACAAAUCAUCCUCAGCAUAACCAGAUGCAGCGCCCACCAAGUUCGUUUCCUAUGUAUACCAGCUCUGGUAGUUUUCACUCAUUCCCGGGUCCAAGCACCAAUGUUUCUGGUUCCUCGUUGAGACCACACCUUCAUGAUUCCCAUAUGAGACAUGUGGCACUUAACCAGGCCGUGGGAUCAACUGGUCUUGGAGCACCUUCCCAGUCUACCACAAACAUGAUGACUGCGCCCAAGUUUGAGAGACCAGCUUCUGUAAAUGAUCCUAGUAGGGUUCAAGGCGGCGCUACUUCACACUUCCAGAACAGCUCAUCGUUGCCUCUAAAUUCUGUACCUAGUCAAGGAUCAUCACUGUCCCAUGUGAAGCAAGAAUCAGUUGAACAAAGUUUUGAACAGAAUAAGGCAGCCCCAGGGACUUCGAAGGAGGAUUUAGAGAAGGAGUCCUGUAGAAUGGUUUUAUCCGCACCUAGCAAUAUUGACGCUAACACAUCAGUAAGAGAACUUAAUAACUUAUUUUAUAUAUUAGAUUUCUGAUGAGAAAAGUAUUUUUCAAAUUCUCUCUGUUUGCCUCUUCUUUUUGAGCUUUUAGGGCAACCUUGGUUCUUUAAAAGACUUGCAUAUUUUCCUUGGUAUUUUCAACAAUCUUGGCAUCUAUCUUGAAUUUUUUGUGUGUCCAUCAGAUGAAUGCUCGUGGUCCGUUGGGUACGUCACAAGCAGGAUUUAAUGCUAGGAUGCCACCCAAAAAGCCAACUGUCGGUCAGAAGAAACCACUGGAGACAUUAGGUUCUUCACCGCCACCACCAAGGUAAUUGAGCUGCUGCCUUGAUCUUCCACUAAGGGUUUGAAAGAGGGGUUAUUUACAGCUUUUCCUAAAACACUCGUUUUCUUUAGCCAUUUAAAAUUAUACACAGUUAAGAGUUUUCUUUAUGUUACAGCUUAAAGAACUUUUCUCUUUUUUUUUGGUUCCCAAAUGUAAAAUUAUAACCAAUGUUGUGUUGCAUGGAUCAACUUGCAGCAAGAAGCAAAAAGUGGUGCAGAAUUCUAUGGAUCAAAGUAUCGAACAGCUCAAUGAUGUCACUGCAGUCAGUGGUGUCAAUCUCAGGGUGAGCUUUGUGUUUCCUGACAGCUUCAGUUUUCACUUUAAAUCUGGUUGUGUAGUACUGAAUUUUGCUGUCUGCAUUGAUUUUAGGAAGAGGAAGAACAAUUAUUUUCCGGGGGCAAGGAGGAUAGUCGUGUUUCUGAAGCAUCUCGUAGAGUUGUGCACGAAGAGGAAGAAAGAUUAAUUUUGCAGAAAAGUCCACUGCAUAAAAUGCUGGCAGAAAUAAGUUGGGAUACUUCCUUUUUUAGCUCUUACAUUCUAGGUUGAUGAAUCACUUGGCGAAGAAACUUAUAUAUGUUCUUUCAUAUCUGGCAGUGGCGAAAGUUGGGCUAAAGCAAAUAAGCAAUGAUGUUGAACGGUGCUUGUCUUUGGUACAACUUCGUGUGUAUAUUGUUUGCAUACAGUACUUGUGUUUUUUCUUUUGUACCCUUUUCUGAUGCAUUUGCGCUCUCAGUGUGUGGAGGAAAGGAUGCGAGGACUAUUAUCUCAUAUCAUUCGGUUGUCAAAGCAGGUCAGUUCUAGCUUUCUUCUACUACCUGCUUGGAACUAAUCUGUUCUGAAGCUAAUAGUGUUUCUGCAGCGGGUUGAUACUGAGAAAUCUAGACACCGGACCUUUAUCACGUCUGAUAUUCGGCUACAAAUCAACGAAAUGAACCACAAAAUGAAAGAGGAAUGGGAAAAGAAACAGGCUGAAGCAGAAAAACUUAAGAAAUCAAGCGAGGUAUGUUCUGAGCUCAUCAUUAUCUAUGUUCUUGGUUUUACUAUAUUGCAUACAGACAUUGUAAAGUGUUUUUAUUUUUGGUUACUGAUGCAGAGUGAAGAAGGUGAUGGUGGAGUGGAUAGUGAGAAGGAGAAAGAAGACAACCGUUCAAAGGGUUUGAAGGUAUGGAGAAAUUUAACAAAAUACAAUUUGUUGCCACAUUGUAUUUUUACCUUUUGCAAUGUUCGUUGAAAAGUAGUUUGGAUAUGUGAAAGGGAAAUAAAGAGGACGACGACAAAAUGAGAGCGACAGCAGCAAACGUUGCUGCUCGUGCUGCUGUAGGAGGAGAUGACACGUUUUUGAAAUGGCAACUAAUGGCAGAAGCUCGUCAGAAGUCUGUAUCCGAAACUGGAAAAGACGGGAAUCAGAAAACUACUUCAGGUGGAGGAAGAAACUCCAAGGAGAGACAAGAUGGUGGACGUCGGUUUUCUGGACCUGGUGAGUCAAUACAUUACUCUCUCCCUAAGGUAAAAGCUUCAAGGCAUUGGUCUAUAUAAUAAGCUCUGGAUUCCUAUUUCCAGGUGGUCGAAGAUUAGGGAAGAACCAAGGUCCAUCGCUUCAACCAAAAGUGGUGAGGACAAUCUCGGUGAAGGAUGUGGUUGCUGUCCUAGAAAGGGAGCCUCAGAUGUCUAAAUCCACUCUAAUGUAUCGAUUAAUUCAAUAGAAACGCUUCACUGUCUCAGAAUCAAAUAUUAUUUGGUGAUUACAUGUAUUUCGAUUAGGCAGACAUUACACUUAUGGCCAUGAAAGCGAACCAUAUUGAUGUAGAAAUCAAGUGGAAUGACUAAAAAUGCAAAGAGAAAGAAGAAAUCAAAAGAACAAAAAAAAGAAAGCUUGGAUCUUUGUUCAUUCCAUAAGAAGAUAGGCUUUUUACAAGAAUUAUUACCUUCACUUUCUCAAGUGAACCGCAAAAUAUAAAAUUUAUAACCUAACCUAACCAUGCUUCAUGUCGGAAUCUGGUCAAAAUUGGGGGAUUCAAUACUUGUAUCAUAGUUUAGGCCUUUAGGGACGAACCCAAGGGAGGCUUAGAGAUUUACUCUAAAUGGGUGGUUUUCAUAAGUUAUAGGAUAGAUGAUAGGAUAAUGGUAGACAAUCAUAAACAUAAAUAAGGGUUGGAUUAACUUGCAACUACCUAACCUAAGAGGAAAAUACUUAAAUAUAAGAUUGCAUAAACAUAAAUAAGGAAAAUAAAUGAAUAGAAGUUAGAUCAGGUGGCUAAGUUAACACUUAUCGAAUAAUUAUUGUCACUAGAAUUUUAUAGCUUUAAAGCUUUGUACGAAGUUCUUAACAAUUUAUUCUUUAAAUUUCGUUUGCCAAAAUAAAUAUCAGUAUUGCAGCGUCUGAACUUUAGCUCUAGACAGUCUUGAGUUGUAGCCCAAGCCACCUUACUUGAAUAUAUCGACUUUUAUGACUUGUCAUCAAAAGAUUGUGUUUGCUAAUAAACUUAAAUAUCUCCUUGUAGAAUUGAAGCUUAGCAGUUUGGUAUAUCGCGACAAGACCGUGACGGUGCAAAAGGAGUAAUCGUACAGGGCUUAUUUCCUUUCGAGUCAAGCUCUCCAAAUGGCUCUACCUGUUGUUAGUCAUCCGUUAUGGUAUCACUUCAAUAACGCUGUCCCCACAGUCCGUUCACGCAACCUUCCCAAAGUAAGGAGUCUGAUUAGAAUAAGAAGCACGUCUAUGACAGCUCAGCCGCGAUACCGUUUAUGACACUUCGUUUUUGACAGCCUAACCUUGACAGCCGUUCAUAGAAACCACAACAGUUUUCUUAGAUGGUAGAAUUAAUUCGGUCCUUAGAACGCGCGAGUCAUCAACCCAGUCGGGUACAUAUUUUGGUCUGGAGCCUCAGAGAUAUAAUCACAAACUUUUAGUGCAUCAUAGUCGCCAUGACUUAUUAUUCUUAUUUAUACUUCCGGUAAGAAAUUAAAUUAUAAACAUAUAGAGUUUAGUCCAAAUAAUAUACGAAAACUCGUGAAAUUGUCUACACUAAACGAUACAUACAAGUAAUAGAAUGAUCACGCGGACCUCAAUGUGGUUUUGUGGUCCUCUCCACCAUCUGUGGUUUACACCUUUCCCAUUUAACUUCUUCACAUAAAUAAAUACUCAUUUCCACUUAAUCCAAUGGCAGCAAACACAAAGUAGUAUUUUAACCCAAGAAAAGAAAACAAUGUUGUACUUACACGAACCAAAAAUAUAAUAAAAAUACGAAUUCAAAUAUAGUUUUUAUACGAUUUCACAGUAAAUUUCCAGAACAAUGAAGGCGUGAUCUUAUUAUAUAUAUAUAUAUACGAACAGAUCUUUUCAUACUAUAAUAAUAUACUAGAAGAAAACUCACUUUGGAAAACUUUUUACACUAAUAUUAGUCGGAAAGAAUAAUCCAAACUUACACCAAAGACUGCUGAUAAUACAAGAACAUAUAAUAAUUUGACGAUUGUGCUAAUGCCCUUGUUUUGUCACCAUCCAGUUUAAACUCGCAUAUUAUAUUUCAUGUUGUUGAAUAAAAAAAGAUUACUACUCUGGAGAUAAACUCCUAAACAUUCUGAUACUAAUCUUUGUAAUUUGAAACCAAAAUGAAAAAAAUAAAACUUGCUUAUGAGAUAAGUGUAGCAUACAUAGAUUCAUCAGUCCAAGCGAUCAGGUUUCUUCCUUUCCUUCUUCUUCCGGGGUUCUUCUGUUAUCGUGGAUAAGCCUAGAAAAAAAUGAAUUUAUCUCAUCAAAUUUUUUUUUUUCUAUGUAGGAAAGAUCAGAAUUUUUUUUUUUAUUCCUAUACGCAUAAGAAACUGAAAAUAAAAUUAUUUUACCCAUAAUAAAUUGAAAAUACCAUGAAUUUUGUCCUUGAGCAUCAUCUUUCGAAGCCUUGUUGCUCUAGCCUCUUCAAACAGACACGUUGACUCUAUCUGUUUGCUGAUCAUUUGAGCAGCAUAGUAAGGGAUUUUGCCACGAAAGGACCGGACAUUAACGAACAUGAUACAGUCCAUCAAGCUUUCUCUUGAAAGCCCUUUGAUGUCAUAAGCUCUUGACCUUGUCCAGAGACUCUUACCAUGCGUAUUCACAGGUUCAGACAAGCAAAGAGCUCUUGUGCAAUCACUUAUGGCUGCGUCUGCAUCUCCGAUAAGUAAGUAACACUCUCCUCUAUCGCUAAAUAGACUCAUUCUCUUUCUCCUAAGUUUCAAAGGGCAUAAUCCUAUUGCUUCGUUGUAGCAUUUAAUAGCUCCCUCUAUGUCUCCUACACAAAGAAAUUGAUUUGCUUGCUUCUUAAUCAAAUUCACAACUACACUAGCCUCUGCCAACCUUUCUUGAUUAUCUCCCUCUAUAAGCUUUCUCUCCCUCUUUCUCCUCUCUACUUUAAUCCUCCAUAUUUCUUUCAAAGCCUUUUGGGCCUUGUAUGUGUAAGCAUAACCUUUCUUUCUAUUGUUAUCCAUUAGAAGAACCCUAGUUAUUCUAUCACCUAGGUUUGGUCUAUCAUUAAGAGCUUUAAGCUCAACUAGGUCUACUAGAUAAAACAAUGAUGUCUCUAAGACUUUGUACCUUGUUUCUUGGUCUUUGAGCAGAAGCAAUAGACAAUCUACACCCAUGUAUUGCCAAUCAUCAGAAGAACGGGAGAGAUUGCAUAGGCUCAAUAUCAUUUCUCUGGAAUCUGAAACAUGUCCUCGCCCUUGUUUGCUAUAACAUAGAAUCCGGAUUAGCCCGAUGCUCGCAGGAGAAGUGUGGUUAACCAAUCCACCCCACAUUUGGCUAAGCUCCUUGAGAAAGUUUUUGUUGCAAAUAAGAGAAAUAGACAUUUGCUUGUAGGCAAAGCAACUGAGUAAAUGAAGUGACCAGCACUGGAGUUGGCUUGCCCAUUCCUCAGCUUUUCUGUCUUCCAUCUCUAACCCUCCAAGUCCUCUUGUCAGCAAGUCACAAUGAUAUCUCACUCUUCCUUCUCUUUCUUGAACACUCACAAACUCUUCGUACACAACAUAUACACAUGUCGUUGCAAUGUCCAUGGCUAAUCUCACCACUUCAUCCUCGUAAGCAGCCACUGCCUCAAACGUCCUCUCGUAGCUCGCUAAGUGGCCUAACGCCCUAACCACCACUCUUUGCUCGACCCAACUCAUUUUCCCUCUCAUAAGCUCCACUAAUGGAGCUAUGACACCGGACUCCACAGCUUUCACAGCAAAGUCAGGCUUCUUCAUGGUGUAAGAUCCAAUGAUAUGAGCUGCGUAGUAUGGAACAUACACAUUUUGACCAGUCGUUACCCAUUCCGUAUCCUCAAGACUUUUCUUCAACAACUUUGCCAUGCACUCGAAGACCCCCAGAGACGGUAACUCGGGGUUCUCGGGGUCGGCCAUGGCGAAUCUCCAGAUGAAACUGAGUGUGAGAGCGAGCUCUGUGUCGUCUCUUGUCAUGUGCAUAUCACUAAGAGAUAACUCUAACCAUGCUUUUCUAAGACAAGGGUCUUUUUCUUCCAUGACACAAAAGAAACCACACGGUCUGAAGCCGACAACAGCGUGGGACCUCCUGGCCAUCUUGCUUGUACCCUUGCAAGAGAAGUGGUCCAUGAUAGAUCUGUGAUUUUGUUGAUGUUUUGGCUGUAUUUCUUCUGAUUAAAGAAGGUUUAAUACAAAAAGGUGAAAUAGGGUUUGUAUGUGAUCCAGGUGGAUGCAGAUCAAAGUGGGACUUUUUUGUUUAUUUGAAAAGUGAAACUAAAGUGGCCUAGUGACGUGAUGACAUCUAGCGGCCGCAUGAGAAAGUGGAAUGCAAAAUUGUCCUUUCCGUUUAAACAAUUCAAAAAGUUUACUAAUAGUUUCAUAGUACAGUCAUUUUACUGGCACUCUUGCGAAAGAUAUCUAAACAGAUGAUACGGCAUGCCUGGUGCAUAUACAAAAUUGAUUGUAGAAAAUGUUAAACGUACGUUUUAUAUUUAAGAAAAUAUUACAUGUACUUCAAUAAUAUUACACAUGUUGGAACUUAGAAGACACAUAAGGUCUGAGAGACUAGGUUGCACUGCACCAUUCAACAUACUAGAUCUUAUACUAGACAGAAAUUGUAAGUUGUAGGUGAGAAGGCAUUGAAAAGGUUAGCACACACCAGCAUCUCAGCUUAGAGUCUAUUUCUUCUAUCGUGUGUUCAUCCAUUGAAUUUCUCAAUGACAAUAGGUGCUAACAUUUUUGUCAACGCUAACCAUUUCUUCUAGUCAAAUACCAAAGUUCCAGUAGUUGUAUAUUCUGAAGUUCUAGUGUACCAUCAAAUAUAUCCAAUACUCGGACUUGAUACAAGUCUUAUUUAUUGCAGAGAAUAAUCAACUUAUGAAGUUAAAUUCUCAUGCUUGUUCUUCUGGAUCUGCACCAUCCAAUUAUCUUGAUCAUAAAAAAGGACGAGGAAUAAAAUUACGUCCAUAUAGUGAAAAAACAAAUAAAAACUUGAACGAAAAUAAAAGUGGUCGGGAUACUAAAAGCAAACUGAAUUUUUGGUUAUAGAUGUGGCAUGAAAGGUCCGAACCUUGAAUGAGGAAACCCCCAUCUCAGAGAUUUAUGGCAUUGUCGCGGAUAUUUUAAACCUUGUUGUUGCUUUUGAUUAUGUGUCUUUUGUUUGGACCCCACGUUUUGAAAACAAAGCUGCUGAUGCCUUGGCAAAGCAGACCCUGUCGAACGCAUCCUUUGUAGCUCCAUCCAUGAACCCAGGAGUUUAAAUUUUAAUGAAAGUAGUGUUACAAAAAAAAAAAAGAUGUGGCAUGAAAGAACAUUGGCUACGUAUAUUUCCUACAACAAAACAAAAAACCGACUUGUAUCGAGAAUCAUUAAAGGAAAAAGAAUAUGACUUUGAUUAGCGUUUGUCUCACAUAACGAUCGCGUCCUAAUCCUUGCAAAUACCGAACACUAUCUUCUCAAUCACAGUAAUAAGAUAAAGAAAUCGAAUCUCUUCUUUUUGUUUCUUUCUUUCAUUGUACAUAGAAAAAUAAGGUAACUACAACAAUUUACUUGGAAUCAAAGUGUAUUUAGAUUUGAUGAAUCUUUGUUUCCUGAAUCCUGGGGUUUAAUUUUCUUUCUAUAAAUUCAAAUAUAUAUAUAUAUAGAGGGAGAGAGAGAGAGACUCUGUUGAGUGAUGGGGAGGCUCAAGCAUUAGAUGUUUCAGAGGACGAGAGAGGCUGGAGUUCUUGUUCUUUAACAGCAGCACUUACAGGCUCAUAAGUUGCUUCUUCUUGUUGUCUCCUUCUCCACACCAACGCAAGUUUGACGAUCACCGAAGUAACCAGUAACGAGAUCAUUACUCCCACCACCACUCCAAGUAAAUGCUUCUCCCACCAGCUCCUGCAACCACAUCAGACCCGUAAAUAUAUAUAUCAAAUCUAGCAAAUGAUUCUGCAACCAUGUGAACGAAACGAAACAUACUGUUUCCGCUUCUGCUCAGCCUUCCAUUCUAGCAAUUUGUAGCUUCCAAAUUGACCGGGUAGCCGCAAUUUGUUUUCCUUCAAAAGCGACAUUAUGUUCUGCAAUCACGUAAAACUCAAAUAUUUUCAUGGGCUGAUAAUGAAAGAUACCUAAACCAAUAAUGAUCACAAGCCAUCUCAUCGUGUUUGUAAGGACAAGGACAAGUACCAGUGCUGUAUUAUUGGAAAUGUACUCGGAAGAUUGUGGGGGAUAGAUUCCCCAUUUCAGGCGAUACUCAUUUCCGCUGGUCGUGAUACUCAACAAGCGAACCUAGCAAUAAGAAGAGCCAUUGAGAUGAUUUCAUCACCUUUUAGCACACAUAUAUAACUAGUGGAAAGUGCAUGUUUAAGCUUGCCUGUGAACUUUGAAUCUCUAACUCAUGGGCAAUGAAAUCUGCGAUCUCUGAGAAGUUGGGCUUCAUUGAAGCAUUAUUCACACUAAUUGACACUUGGAAGGUGAUAACUCCAAUCCGAAAAACACCUUCACAUUCGUAAGAAAUAGCCAAAUAAAAUCUCAUGUAGAAACAACCAUCUGUUUGAAAGGAGAAAUAAAAUCUCAUGUAGCCAAAUGAGUUGUUGAUUGUAAGAGUAAUUUUACAACUCAAGAAAUAAAGUUCUUCCCUUUUGAGUUUGAAAUAAUAAGAAUAGUCAAAGGAACAAGAGAUAUGAUGAUAACAAGAGUAGCUUAAGAUAAAUCCCUGAAAAUCCAAACAAACUACCUGGAAGAUCCACUGUAGGAGCCUUGCUUGGAGCGGGGCUUGGGCUUCGGCUUGGAGAGAUAUUAUUAAGACUUUUAUUUUGGGUAACUGGUGAAGUAGGUGCAGGAGAAUCUGGUGGUGACGCCAGCCUCCUCCAUAGAUCAGAACAGUUGGUUUUCAAAAACCCGAGCUUGUCAUUUUCACGGUCAUAAGUGACAAGCGUAUUGCGAACAACAAUUCCUGAUCAAAAAAAAAAACAGAAACUGAAGUUGAUUUGAAAUCAAAGAGUGAAGAACAAGUGAUCUAUCUUGAAACUAAUCAUACAUGAUACAUGGUUUCAUAGACAAUGGGAAAUGAAUGCAAGAUACGUAAAGUGAGUCAGCAUACACUAUACCUCCAAGGAGUGUUGUUGAGUCUCUAUCAGGAAAUAUUCCAAGGCAGUAAGCGCCUCUAACUUUAGUGUGCUGUAAGAAACACACAAAUAUAAACUGUUGUAAUAGCUUUCUAAGACAACAGAAACUGUUAAUGCUUGCUGAGAAAUGAGAUUAUCAAACAAGUAGUAGCUUAAAGAAAAAGAUGAAGCCAUUUUACUUUACCCUGAAUAAGUAGUUCUCAGGAGAAAGUAUCAGUUUCUGAUGAUUGCCAAACUCCAUAGCGAUCUCGGGGAAAAAAUUGUGUAUCUCAGCCACAUCCCUGAGCCGGGGCCCGGCAUCAGAUAUUAUUAGUGUCCUUAGACGUUAAAUCAAUUCGAGGUUUCGUAAUAUUUGAAAAGCUUUAAACAAACCUUCCAGCGCCAGAGAAACAAAUAUCAUCAUAGUUUGGGUCUGGACCAUGGAUCCGUUUCAGAGAUGGGAUUUCCUUAAUGACCUGCAAAAUAUAGGGCCAUGGCCAUCAACAUUUAUCUCCUACAGUUUGUAUUCUAAAGCUUAUAAAAGUCCAUUAACCUUACCGCGUCCUUUAUGGCAUUAAACGCCUCCUUGGGAAAAUAAGCAUAAGUUGUUCCACUAUCCAAGACGGUUCCAUGCUUUCCGUUAAAGACCUUUGGGUUCAGCUUCAGAGACUUGCCAGCAACAUGCAUUUGUUUCAGGUCAAUGUUGUAGUACGGACUGCAAACACCCGAAACUAGAGUGAUGUGUGAGAAGCUCGAGAUCUACUCUAAAAAGAAGUUACUCUCUCUCUCUCUCUCUCUCUACCUGCGGAAAGGAUCCGAACGAGCAAACACCAUUCCAGCAGGAGGAGAUAUUUUACCAAGCACCAUCGCACCACCACCAACUUCCAUCCCACCAUAACACAAGGAAAAGGAGUCCUCAAUGACACCCUUGUCAACAAGCUGGUCAACGAUACUGAGCUUACCACGACCCAAACCCAUAAUACCAUCAGCACGCUGGCUGAAAAGGUCCCCUGUCUCCACGUUCUCGCAUCCGAAAACAGCGCGCUGCGGAGAAAGCAUGCUCUCGUUGCCGAAAGAUAUCAAAUCCUCACUUAGAACCCCACUACUCGAACUCAUCUCAGCGUAACGUCUUUCGUAGAUACACAGUUUCCCAUCAUCAUCACAGUUGCAAUCAGGAUUGCAUUUAACAGCUUCGUAUGUGGUAGAUAGCUCAGGUUGGAACUUGGGAUCCUGAAAAACCAAUAAAAAGACAAGUCAAUACAUAUACUGAGUAUCAUACUCAGACUCAUUUUUUUUUUUUGAAAGAGCAUUCAUAAAUCAGGGCAAGACCACGUCAUAUUCGCGCAAACACAUGGAAAGUGGGAACAGAAAAUACUCAGACUCAUCACUGAUCAUAAUUGAUAAAAGUGAGGAGACCUGAUGCUUGCCACAGUGUUUGCAGGUGGAGCAAGGAACGUAAGUGACAGUGCUUCCAGUAUCUACAAUCAAAGCGAACUCUUGUGGUGGUGUUCCUAUCAAUAACCGUGUCGUGUAGUAGCUGCAUUCAAAUAUAUAAAUAUUCAGCAAACAUUCGAAACUUUAAUCAAAUGGAUGAAAUUCAAACCCGUUGGCGAGGAGGUCAUCGUAGAGCUUCAUGUGAGCGUUAGGGAGCUGCUGCGACUGAUGGAGAAUACGGCGGCGGAGGCGCAAAUCCUCCACUCGCGGCGGAAGGGAUGAGUAGCUUAGCGGGAAAAUCAUCCCUGAUUCGGCUGCUAAAUCGGGAAUCUUAUCAGCCGCGGUCAGAUCGAAGAUGAUGAUGAGGAGGAGGAGGAGGAGAGAAGCUCGAUCCAUGGAUUGUGGCGAUGGAAUGGAGGAGAUAGGGGGAGUAAACUCCACCGUGACUCCGUCGUAGAUCCACAGUGAAAGUUGAGACGAGAGAGAGAGAGAGAGAGAAUGAAAUGGUCACCGGUCACGGUGGUUUCAUGAUUUCAAUAGUCUCUCUCUAUUUUAUUUAUUUUUUUCAUUGUUAGUGCUUCUAACGACGAAUCACGUAAUGUCACGUAGCAGAUUAACGAGCUUGGUGAAGUCAACGACUCUAAAGUCACAACUCUUGCCUUUAUAUGAUCCGGCACGGCACUGUCUUGCAAUUUGGAUUGUAUGGGACCGGCCGGUUGGAUCAGUCAACCUCUUUUCUUCGGUUCCAGUUUGAAUUAGACCGUCUAAAAUUAUACAAAGCAGAUAAAAAAAUAAUUGAAAUUAAACAUUUUGAUUUUUAAAUUAAAACUUAAAUUUAAAUUUAAAGUUUCAUACUUGAAAAUAUCACUUAAAAUAUAACAGAAAAUUACUAAAAAUAUCAUAUUCAUAAUACAAAUUUUCAGGUUUACAUUAAUUACUUUUACUCUCACUUUUAGAGAGGUAAAUAGACAUUUAAAUUUUUAAAAAAUACUUUCAGAAUAAUUUUUAAAUUUCAAAAAGAAAAUUCAAAAAAAAAACAAAAAAAAUCAAAAUAAAGUCCAAAUAUUUACUUUUAAAAUUCUCAAAUUCAAAUAAAUCGAGCACAUCAUAAUGUUUAUUUAACAUGUUCGAUAAGUGUUCACUUAAAAAAUAUUCUCUUUGAUUAAAGAAUCUCAGUUCAUUAUACAUAUAGAUAAAGUUCUGAGAGUGUAAACAAUAUUUUAAAACUUUAAAUAAAAAUAUGAGAGAUAUAUUCAAUUGUGAUAAAUUUUUGGUCGUAAAAUUAUGAAUUUUAUGAAAAAAAUAGAUUUUACAUGUCAUAGUUAAAAAUAAAUAAGUUAAGCUGUGAUAGUUUUUGAAUUAAUAAUAUAUUUAUUAUAAAUAUAUUUAUAAAAUGAUUAUGCUGGCAACAAAUACGGGAAAAAUCACCUAAUAUACAAGUACACAUUCAAACAAAAGUAAAACCAUAAACGAGGUAAGCAAUAAUGAUAGGGAAACGAAAGUAGAAGAGAAAGACAAUAAACAGAACUAGAAUUAGAAAAUAGUCUCGAGUCUUUUACACAUAUAUAAUAGGUAACGAACAAACACAAAAACAUAAAUCUCUCAAGACAAAGACAGGACAAAACAUACUGGUGAGGACAAUAUUUUUUGGUUAUGUAACAAAAACAUAUUGUUCCACAAAACAAAAGCCUCACCUAGAAAAUUCAACAAUGACACAACAAAACAAUUAUGAUAAGCACAUACAUUCUUCUUUCUUUCUUUUAACUUUUGGCUCUAGAGAUCGAGUUUAUCCAGAACUUUCUUCCCAAACUUGUUGCACCUCAUCAAUGGUUUAUUACGCUCUAUAUGCCUCAUCAAAAUGACGCGCAAUACGUCCUGCAAACACCAAACACCAUUCUCAUUAUCGACAGCAUAAUCUUUACGCAUAAAGACCACAACAUUAGACAGUGUACGGCCCUGAUAUUCAUUACCUCACACACAAACCAUGCAGUUUGAAUGACAUAGUUUCCAAAAGGGUCUACAAGAAGUGUAUCAAUAUCUUUGAGCAAGUCAUAUACGAUCAUGCUAUGGUCGAUAUAGUGUAUUUUCAAGAACUUCUGCACAACAUGACUUCCGUAUUUGUUACGGGAGAGGCGCGCGUAGUUCCCAAACAGCUGUUGCACGAGCAAAAUUGUUAUGUUUGGAUCAUUCAGCUCCACUACAUACUGCACCACGUAGUUUCUGCAGGAGAAUAAUAUAUAUAGUAAUUGUGAGUAAACAAAAUGGAGAUAUGAGAUAACAAAACGAUUGUAUGUAUCACUCGUCAUUUCAUAGCUCAUGUUUUACCCGAAGUUGUUCACGCAGAGGCUCAACGCAUUACUGAUUAUCUCACGAAUCAAACGUUUCGUUAGCACCUCACAACUAGUACCAAGACAUUGCUGAAGCAUGCAGCAGCCAUGUUGGUCAAUUGCUAACCCGAAACAGUUCUGAGCUAAAACUUCAAUAAGAUCCUGUAACGAACAAACAACACAGUGGAUAGAAGAUAGAGUGUCAUAUUCCACGACUUAAGGUAUUUGGAAACAAAUCAUUCAGAGUCUAUCAUGGCUAACUUUACUUGUAUCACAAGCAAUAAAAUCACCAAGUUUACACCUGCGACAGAAUCCACCAUAGAGAGACUAGACUAGAAUAUAUUUUCAGUCAUAUGACUUGUACAAAAAAUUAUGAACUGAAUAGAACAGACACUGCAAGAUUAAAGAUGCAACUUGAAACAUCAAACUGAUUCAUUUACUUUUGAGUUUUGCUACAGUGGAGUUAUAUAACUAUACUGUAUAUGAAAGCGAUUUCCUGUUUCGAAAAAGACUGCAUUUUUAAGAAACAAAGAUCAAAAUUGACUCCACAGCCAUAAACAAAGAUUCAGCAGAUGAAUACAUUCUACUAACCAAUUUAAGUUUAGAGAUAUAUACCUAUAACUAACAAAGAACCAAGCACCAGAGAGUACUGUGGAUGAUGAGAUGCUUACCCGAUUCAACGAGGGAGGAAACUGGUUGAAGCAUUGCAUAAUCACAUGUUUAGCACCGUUGCUCCUUGUAAAUGAAAGUACUCCCAUGCUAACAGCUCCAACUACCCGCAAAAUUUGUUCUUCGGAAUGAAGACACCUCAACAGCGACUGUAUCGAACGGGUUCUGGUAGUGCCAAGAAAAAAUAUUUAACAAAUAAAGCAUAAACUGUCUUUAUCCAUAAAUCUAAACCAAAACAAUCACCAAGCCUAAAAAGCUAAUUACAAUAUUACAGAAUCAAAGGAUCAGAAGUGUGUGUACCCGACAGGAUCAAUGCACAUCUUAAUAAAUCCUAACUGGUUCAGAGUGAUCACAUCGAUAAUAUGACUGAUCUGUUGAGAGCUACACUUGUGCAUAAGCUUGUGAAGGACUUGAGAAGCGAAAGGGUGUUCCAUCAACUCAUAGAUGCUAGAGAUAACAUCGUUGAACAUCACAUCAAUGGUCUCCUUGGAACACUCAUCGAUCUUCUCCUGCAAGACAAGGCUCGAUUUUGGAUCCUUAUAAGCAAGCAAAGCAAUGGGUCCCAUUCUCGCGUUCACGAAACCUUCGUUGCUCCUCCAAGAACCAAACCCAUUGUCGCGACCUCUCGACAAGUCGGGCGAAACACUACUCUGCCCAUACGAUCCUCCGUCGUUAACGUAAUCGUUCAGGGACGGCGAUGUUCUUUGAAAGUAGUGAUUCAUCAUCUCCUGCAAACCUACUUCACGCUGAGGAGGAAGAGACCAACCCCCGCCGCCGCCAUUGAUCCCUUGAUUUUGCUGCAGUGACGAUCGAUUGGUCCAACGAUUCUGCUGACGAAGGGAGAGCAUAGCGAAAGAGGAAUCUAGGGUUUCGACAUCAACACCAGUCGGGAAUCGAGACAGCUGUUCGUCGAGAGCUCUAUGAGUGUCCGGUUGGAACUGAGACUCACCUCGUGGAUACAUCUCCGCCGGAGACAGAUUCUCCUCCGUCGCAUUUCCGUCGCGUUCGCCGCCGGUUGAGUUGACGCGGGACGACUCCAUUACUUAGCAAAGAAGCUGAAGAGAAAUUAUAUAACAGAGAGAGAGAGAGGAGGAAAACAGAAAGGAGAAAGAGACCUUUUUCUCUAGGUUUGUGGAGAUUUAAUACGAAUGUAAAUCUAUAUAUAUAGAGAGAGAGAAAAGAUUUAAGGUAUUAAUGCAGAAUAGAGUGAUUAAGGUAAUUAAGAGAGAUUUAACUUUAGAAAGAUAUUCAAUAAUUAAAAGUUCAAACAAGGAAAUUCUAAGAGGUUGAAUAACGUUUGAAUUCUUCUUAAAGUUUUUUGAUGUCUUCUUUCGUUCUUCUUAUGCUAGAACUUUGCCCAUGCACAUUAAAUAUUCACAAAUAUUAUUCCAAGACGACUCAGUACAGUCAAAGUUAAGUGUACUUCAACAGAAGACUCGCGUGGACCACACGAGUUCCCUUCUCAUUGGUUAAGACAUAUUUUGUUUUUAUUUUUUCUUUUGAUAAUGUCGUACCAAAAUCUUUGAUGUUGUAAAUGAUUUUAGAUAACUAUCAAAUAUACUGAAAUAUUAUCAGUUAAAUAAAAGGCCUAGGCAAAAAAUACCAAAACCGAACUGAAAUACCUAAAAUCGGAACCGUACCAAAACCCUCAAAUACCGGAACGGUUCCUAUAUUUGUGAAUAUUUUCAAUAGCAUAUAACCUAAACUUUGAAAAUCAUGAGUUAAUUUACUUAUUAUUGUAGCCUUGUAUUUUUAAAAUUAAUUCUUAUUUUGUAUUUUAUUUUAAUGUUAAAUUUGAAAAAUAUUAUAUAUAUAGAUAUAUUAAUUGAAUUUAUUUAUAAUGUUUUAAUUUUAUUAACUUACUUUGUUUGAUAGUGGUUUCUAUUUUAUUUUUAAAUGAUUUGUUUUUGGAAAUAUUGACAUUUUUGAAAAUAAAAAUUAAAAUAAUGACUUGUCAUAAUAUAAUUGGUUGUUUUAAAUUUUGUAUACAUACCUUUAAUGACUUAUGGCCUCGACUUUUUCUUAUAACAUCACCUACACUUUUAUAACACAUAGAUUUAUGUUAAAUUUCCAAAUAUUUUAUAUAUAUAUGAGUCAAUUCCAUUUUAAUUAUUUAUUUAGUAGUUGCCUUUUUGAUAUUGAAUUCCAUUAUGUAUUAAAAUAAUCAGUUUUAGAAAUUUUAACAUUUUUAAAAAAUUGUAAGCCAAUCAAAAUUAGGAUUUCUUAUUUUGAUUGGUUGUUUAUAAUCCUAUGUGUAUAUUCUCAAUGGCUUUUUGCUUCAGUUUUAUAUAGUAAAUAAAAUGAUGAUUUAGCAUAUUUUUGGUGUUUUUAAAAUAUUAUGUGAACAUUCUCAAUUAUUUAUACUUAGUUCAACUUAUACAUAGUAUAUGUUAUUUGUGAAUAUUUUCAUUAGCAUAUAGCCUAAAAUUUUUAAAUUAUAAGUCAAAUUUAUUUACUUAUUAUUGAGUAAAAGUCUUACAUUUUUAAAUUAAUUAUUAUUUUGUAUUUAUAUGUUUAUUUUUAUGUUAAAUUUCGAAAAUAUUUUAUAUAUUAAGUUAACUUAUUUAUAAUGUUCUAUUUUUGUUAACUUAAAUAAUUUUAUACUGGUUUCUGUUUUUUUUAAUAAACAAUUUUUGGAAUUAUUAAUAUUUUUUAAAAUAAUAAAUUAAAAUAAAUGAUUUGUCCAAAUAUAACUGGUGAUUUUAAAUCCUAUGUGAACAUUCUCAACGGCUUAUAACUUCAACUUUUAUAUAGUAUAGAUUUUUGAAAGAUGAUGCAUUUUUUUGCUACAAAAGUUUCAGAAUUCACCUCCCAAAAUAGCUGAUCAAAUUUCCCACUUUAAAUUUCAUUGGUAUGAACUUAUUAAUAAAGGGGGAGAGAGUGUAUGCUAAAAUACAAAACACAAGCAAAACAUUUCAAAAUUACAUACAAAAUCUUUAAACAUAAGUUCAACUAAAAGUAGUCCUAAGACAUGUACAACCCAAAACAGUAAAGAACUGCUUCUCUUGGUUUCAAAUGAUUCUUUGCCGAUGAACAAAGCUCUCUCUAAAUGCUGACAUCUUCAAAGAAGGUAAGAGGAAGCUCUGGCGAUACAGGCAUAGUCGCAACACACUUGAACUGAGUAGGGAACCAAAAUAGAGACAUAGAAACAUGUAAGUAUCAAGAACAUUGUGUUCUACACAUUAAAGUCAAAAUAGAUGUCAUAGUAGUUAAUUGGAUUUUACCUUAUGCUGCUUGUAUUUCUCUCUAACAGCUUGUAAAGCUCCUCCUUUUCUGCUAAGAUACAAGUCAUGUAUCAUACACACACAUUCUCUGAGAUCACCCGCUUUGUAUCUCGUGUACUCUUCUAACAUUACACUCUGUUACAUUCAAAAAGCCAGAGAUUUAGUGUCUUAUACAAAGUGGUGAAUAUAGAACUAUAACAAGAAGCAGGCUUCACCCAGGGAUGUUGCUUUGGACGGAUGAUGAAUCUUGCAAGAUAUACGGCUGAAGCAGCCACAACGGACGGAAGAAACUUCAAACUGUUAUAGUCUAACAUGCUUAGCUCGGAAAGAUAGCUACAGAGAAACUCCAUCUGUAAAUGUGACAUCUGAAACAAAGUGAAGAGUAAAAACCUUAGUAAUUGCUCAUACUAACAAAAAAAAAACGCCACAAUUCAAGAAGCGCUUACAUUGAAAUCUUCUUGCGCAACUCUUGUGAACCGUCUGCACAAAAACCAACAUAAGCAGAAGUGAGACACAACCAUAAAUAACUAACUUAAUGAGAAAACCAAAAGCAUAUCAGACUCUAAUAACCUUAGAAAAGUAUUGGUUGUGGGGUUUCCUAAUUCAAACUGAAGAGCAAGAAGUACAUCAGCUUCCAUCUUCACAAUCUCUUGCUUAGUGUAAGUGUUGUCUGUAAUGUAACAGAAGUCCUCCACAUUCGGAGGCGUUAUCUCUUCAUACUUCCUACAAAAAGCCCAAACAUAAAAAAGCCAAAAGAGAUGCUAACAGACAAAAAAAAAAAAACUUAAAAAGAUGUUUAGUUAGCUUACGAGGCAAUAAGCAUAGCGGAAACUCCCAAAAGCUGAAGCUUUUGCCUAUUAACAGUCCGAAGAGACAAGAAUCUGUCGAUGUAGGAGACAGCGAGGUAAAGAGUGUCGGAGAGAAGUUUGUACUCUUCAGCAACUUCAACUAACCAAUCAACCAAUACUCCUCUCAUAUUAGGCGUUACAUCUUUCUGCACCUUUUCAAUAUAAUCAAUCAAAGGCCUUGACUUUUCCUUCACCUGAUUCAAAAUUUCAACCAAAAUCAAUUUUUUACACAAGACCCAGAUCGAAUUGAGGAAGGGUAACCUCUAAUUGACGGAGAUAAACGAAGAUUCCGGUGACAUAAGGAGCACACAUCUGGGGAUCAUCAGAUCUGGUGUCGACAUCGGACUUCGAUGUCUUCUUGUUUUGCUUCUUCGGAACUCUAAGGGGUUUUCUGGUUUGUUUUCGCUUAUUGCACAAGUUGGGAAGCUCACCGAGGACAACUCUCUUCUUCUUCUUCUUGCUGAGGCGGUCCUCGUCUGCCAUAGCAGCUUUUCUUUUGGUGGCUGCUCUCGUCAUCCUCACGAAGUUCUCCUUAUCGUCGGACAUGAUUCGAUAGAGAUCGAGAUUGGUUGGAAGAGAAUGAUGGAGAGGGGGAGGAGAAAAAGGGAAGACGCAGAGCGCCAUUUCCGAUUGAUUUUUUUCGAAUGAGACAUUGAAUUGGCGCUUUCGAAAAUUUUGAGAUGUUUUCAAAUUUUGGUUUUACGAAAAUGUGGGUCGAAUUUUGUUGGCGGGAAAAAAGAAAAAGAAAAACUUUUCAAGAGCACUUUUAAUGGGCCUCUCCAACAAGAAUACUGAACAAUAUGGAAUUUUGAUUGUUUUUUUUUUGUUGACGACAACAAUUUAGUAGAUACACUUUACAUAGUUCCAAUUUCAAACCUUUUUAAAUAAUUUUUAAAAAAAAAAAUAAUAAUAUUCAAAAAGAUAAACUUCCAUUUAAAAAUCAGAUUAUACAAUAAAUGAAAAUAUUUAGAUAUUAAAAUUAUAAUUAAAAUAUAUGACAAUUGAUUUAGAUAUUAGAUUUAGAUAUUAAAAGUUUGUAAGAGUAAAAAGAAAACAAAAUUCGAAAAUUUGUUUUUAGAAUUAAAUUACUUCAUAUAUUAUAAAUCAGCAAAUAGCAUCUCUUAAGAUGGGUCACCGAUUUUGUUUUCAAUUUUUAAGUGUGGCUCACAAGUUGAAGACUAAUAAAUGUUUUGUCCGGCAAUUUUUCCAAUUUAAAUAAAUUAUCAUCAUUUGUAAGCGAUAAAGUCUCACUGUAUUUCUUCACGCAAAAGAAAGUUUCGUUUACUUAUUCUCGUUGCUGCAAUAAUUACGCGAUGUUCAUACACGAUCUUGUUAGGGUUGGAAAUCGAGAGAAUUUUGAUCAAAAUUCAUUAAUAACCAUGCGUCUGUGGUCAAGUAGUCAAGACGUUUCGUGGACUUCCAAAAGACCCGAAUUCAAAUUCGUUCCACACCAGAUUCUCAUGUGCGUGGUCACCGAAACUUUUCACAUUCACUUUCCAGAGAAUGAUUUACCAUUUUUUAUUAUUAUUACAGUGUCUAACCAUUUUCUACGUUGCAGCUGCAUAUUCUAUUUCUGCUGUAAAUUACUAAAUUAUAUAACAAUUCCAUGCCGCCUUACUAAAAUUAUGUGUGUAUAAAUGUAACAUCGGUAUUUUACAAAAUAACUUAAAAAAAUAAAAGAUCUAAAAUUUUCAUUUAUUACUUUUCAAAAGUCAAUUCCAAAAUCGUAAAUCCAAUAUAUAACAAUAAAUCCAACAAAUGCAAUAGAUCCCGAAAUAUCGAUAAAAGCAUAUAAACCAGAAAUUUGAAAAAAAAAGUAGAAAAAUAUCCAAAAACACCAAUCCUAUAUAAAUUCACGCUUACUUGCUAGUCUCACCUGAAAGAAAAAAGAAAAGAGGGGUGAAUAGGAGAGUCACUCAUUGAAGUAUGAGAGGUUAAACAUGCAAACCACUCCUUUAAGUAAAUAUAAUUCCCACUAUUGAUAUUUAACUCUAACAUGAACAGACAAAAUGCCUAAAGCAUCACACACAACACACAGUGCGCUGAUAAUGCAUAUUUAGAUUACACACUCCGCAUUCUCCUUAUACGUAUAUAUAUUAAUACGCAUCGUCGAUAGUACAGUCUGUCUUUGUACCCCAACCAUCUCAGUAGCAUCAAUAGUGCACACGUCUCUACACCAUACGCUCAACACAAGUAAAGUCGCUAACCCAGACGUCUCUGAACCACCACCCUCACCAUACGCUAAAAACAAGUAAAGUAGCGUCGCUAACUUAGAUAUCUCUUAGCCCUUGCCUGUGCACAUAGUUCGUACUCAUAACUAUGUACUCAUUAAGUGAUGGUAUAUAUAUAUAUACCAUCACUUAACAUCACACAAUCCAAUCAACGGUUGAAUCAUCUAGACCCCUAGUUCUGGUUUGCAUGAAUGAACUAACUACCAAUCAAGACUCAAACAAAUUUAAUUCAAACAGACGGAUCAUGAUUCGAAAUCAAAACUAACAUAGAGAGAAUUCUACACAGGUACGAGAUUUACGGAAUAAACCAUCACCUUAGCAAUGUGAAAAAGUAAUAGUUAUGGAUUCCAGCUGCUCAAACAGAAUCAAAUUCUGAAAUCAGAGCAAACAAUCGAGUCAUAACGCCCUUUGAAUGGUUAAAAACGGAUAACGGAUAAUCUGGUCAAAUUGUCAACUCGCUGGUCAAUGUUCAAUCAUGUUACCUCCGACCCAAACAGAUCAACCCCUGACCAAAUUGAAAUCGAAUUGGAACAUCCAGUUUGCCUUAACCGGAUUUAAUUUAAUUGGACUAGACUCGAAUCCAUUACAAACCGGUUUAAUCAUAACCAAAAUCAAUUCUCAAAAACCAAUCGGUUUAACAAUAGCAGAAAAUCAACUACGCUAAACCAAAACGGCUUGACUUGUCAACAUCUUAAUAAAAUCUGAAUAAAAUAUUUUCAUAUCUUUUUAUUUAUAAUAUAAAUAUAUAUUAUAUUUUUCACUAAACUUAUCAUUUUAAAAUAUUUAAUUACUAGGUGUUUUGCCCGCGAUGCGGGCUUAAAAUUUUUUCUAAAUUUUUGAAAAGUUCUUUGAAUACUAUACUAGUUAUAUUGUGUUUUCCAAAAAGAAUUCUUGCAAUCAGUUUAGUAUCAUCUAUGCAUUGUAUACUCUCGAAUAUAUAAAUAUAUAUAUCUGAACAAUUAAAUAUUAAAAUAUUUUAGUGGUAUAAUUUAAACUUGGGUCUCUAGUCAAAAAAAACAAAACUUGUUUCCAAUUUAUGUAAAGAAUAUUAUUUUUUUGAAUGAGCAAAGAUUUAAGAAUGGUUAUUGUUUUAAGAACAUUAACUUGUUAUUUCUGAACAAUUAAAUAUUAAAAUAUUUUAGUGGUAUAAUUUAAACUUGGGUCUCUAGUCAAAAAACAAACUUGUUUCUAAUUUAUGUAAAGAAUAUUAUUUUUUUGAAUGAGCAAAGAUUUAAGAAUGGUUAUUGUUUUAAGAACAUUAACUUGUUAUUUCUGAACAAUUAAAUAUUAAAAUAUUUUAGUGGUAUAAUUUAAACUUGGGUCUCUAGUCAAAAAACAAACUUGUUUCUAAUUUAUGUAAAGAAUAUUAUUUUUUUGAAUGAGCAAAGAUUUAAGAAUGGUUAUUGUUUUAAGAACAUUAACUUGUUAUUUCUGAACAAUUAAAUAUUAAAAUAUUUUAGUGGUAUAAUUUAAACUUGGGUCUCUAGUCAAAAAACAAACUUGUUUCUAAUUUAUGUAAAGAAUAUUAUUUUUUUGAAUGAGCAAAGAUUUAAGAAUGGUUAUUGUUUUAAGAACAUUAACUUGUUAUUUCUGAACAAUUAAAUAUUAAAAUAUUUUAGUGGUAUAAUUUAAACUUGGGUCUCUAGUCAAAAAACAAACUUGUUUCUAAUUUAUGUAAAGAAUAUUAUUUUUUUGAAUGAGCAAAGAUUUAAGAAUGGUUAUUGUUUUAAGAACAUUAACUUGUUAUUUCUGAACAAUUAAAUAUUAAAAUAUUUUAGUGGUAUAAUUUAAACUUGGGUCUCUAGUCAAAAAACAAACUUGUUUCUAAUUUAUGUAAAGAAUAUUAUUUUUUUGAAUGAGCAAAGAUUUAAGAAUGGUUAUUGUUUUAAGAACAUUAACUUGUUAUUUCUGAACAAUUAAAUAUUAAAAUAUUUUAGUGGUAUAAUUUAAACUUGGGUCUCUAGUCAAAAAACAAACUUGUUUCUAAUUUAUGUAAAGAAUAUUAUUUUUUUGAAUGAGCAAAGAUUUAAGAAUGGUUAUUGUUUUAAGAACAUUAACUUGUUAUUUCUGAACAAUUAAAUAUUAAAAUAUUUUAGUGGUAUAAUUUAAACUUGGGUCUCUAGUCAAAAAACAAACUUGUUUCUAAUUUAUGUAAAGAAUAUUAUUUUUUUGAAUGAGCAAAGAUUUAAGAAUGGUUAUUGUUUUAAGAACAUUAACUUGUUAUUUCUGAACAAUUAAAUAUUAAAAUAUUUUAGUGGUAUAAUUUAAACUUGGGUCUCUAGUCAAAAAACAAACUUGUUUCUAAUUUAUGUAAAGAAUAUUAUUUUUUUGAAUGAGCAAAGAUUUAAGAAUGGUUAUUGUUUUAAGAACAUUAACUUGUUAUUUCUGAACAAUUAAAUAUUAAAAUAUUUUAGUGGUAUAAUUUAAACUUGGGUCUCUAGUCAAAAAACAAACUUGUUUCUAAUUUAUGUAAAGAAUAUUAUUUUUUUGAAUGAGCAAAGAUUUAAGAAUGGUUAUUGUUUUAAGAACAUUAACUUGUUAUUUCUGAACAAUUAAAUAUUAAAAUAUUUUAGUGGUAUAAUUUAAACUUGGGUCUCUAGUCAAAAAACAAACUUGUUUCUAAUUUAUGUAAAGAAUAUUAUUUUUUUGAAUGAGCAAAGAUUUAAGAAUGGUUAUUGUUUUAAGAACAUUAACUUGUUAUUUCUGAACAAUUAAAUAUUAAAAUAUUUUAGUGGUAUAAUUUAAACUUGGGUCUCUAGUCAAAAAACAAACUUGUUUCUAAUUUAUGUAAAGAAUAUUAUUUUUUUGAAUGAGCAAAGAUUUAAGAAUGGUUAUUGUUUUAAGAACAUUAACUUGUUAUUUCUGAACAAUUAAAUAUUAAAAUAUUUUAGUGGUAUAAUUUAAACUUGGGUCUCUAGUCAAAAAACAAACUUGUUUCUAAUUUAUGUAAAGAAUAUUAUUUUUUUGAAUGAGCAAAGAUUUAAGAAUGGUUAUUGUUUUAAGAACAUUAACUUGUUAUUUCUGAACAAUUAAAUAUUAAAAUAUUUUAGUGGUAUAAUUUAAACUUGGGUCUCUAGUCAAAAAACAAACUUGUUUCUAAUUUAUGUAAAGAAUAUUAUUUUUUUGAAUGAGCAAAGAUUUAAGAAUGGUUAUUGUUUUAAGAACAUUAACUUGUUAUUUCUGAACAAUUAAAUAUUAAAAUAUUUUAGUGGUAUAAUUUAAACUUGGGUCUCGAUGGGGAUAAUGGUUGCUACUUUAUAAAUUAUCACAAGGUACAUAGGGUAAAGAUUGCUUACAUGAUAAUAUAACGUCCAUAUCGUAAUGUGUGUUUUUUUUAUGUACUAUGUAUUAAGAAAUAAUUAACACAUUCAACAAUAUUAAAGAGUAAAAAACCCUGUCAAUUGUUCAUAGAAUAAACCAAAAGUUAAACUCAAGUCCAGCCAAAGAAAUAAAAUCCAGUACCGAUAAGCUCAAGUGAUGCGUCGCAUUUCGCAGAAGAGAGACACGUGUCAGUCUGUCAGAGAGUGACUUUCCACGUGGAUAGCUUAGGAGAGAGGCAAACAUAUUUAUAUAUAUAUAGAUUCAUUACUAAAAUAAAUCUUAAAAUAACUCAAUAUUAUAUUUUUAAUUAUAUAAUUUAUAAAAAUAUUUGAUUAAUAUUUAAUUAUAUAAUUUAUGUUUUUAACGUUUUACUAAAAUAUUUUUUCAUAUAACAAUACAAUAUAUAUAUAUAUAAUUCAAUAUUCUAUUUUUAAUUAUAUAAUUAAUAAUUUUAUUUAAUUAAUAUUUAGUUAUAAAAUUUAUGUUCUAAACUUUUUACUUAAAGAAUUUUUUAGAUAACAAUACAAUAUAUACAGAAGUUAUCUCUUUUUUAAAUUAUAUUUUCAGAUUUUGGAUAAUUCUUACUAUUCUUAAUAUUAAUCAAUUAUCUAAUCAAAAUCAAUUAAACUUUCGUUCUUAUUUUUUAAUUUAUUUAUACAUUUUAUUCAUUAAGGGUUAAACUAUAUUAACCACUCUAACUUUCAACGUGAGAACUUCAUUGCGAAAAUUUACUUCGCAAAUAAUAGUUUAAAAUUAUAUAAUUAAAAAAAUUGUUUGAUUGAUAUUUAAUUAUAUAAUUUAUGUUUUUAACGUUUUACUAAAAUACUUUUUCAGAUAACAAUACAAUAUAUAUAUAUAAAUUAUCUUUUUAAAUUAUAUUUUUAGAUUUUGGAUAAUUCAAUAUUCUAUUUUUAAUUAUAAUUAAUAAUUUUAUUUAAUUAAUAUUUAGUUAUAGAAUUUAUGUUUUUAACUUUUUACUUAAAGACUUUUUCAGAUAACAAUACAAUAUAUACAUAAGUUAUCUCUUUUUUAAAUUAUAUUUUCAGAUUUUGGAUAAUUCUUAUUAUUUUUAAUAAUAAUCAAUUAUCUAAUCAAAAUCAAUUAAAAUUUCGUUUUUAUUUUUUAAUUUAUUUAUAUAUUUUAUUCAUUAAGGGUAUAAACGAUAUUAACCAGUUUAACUUUCAACUUGAGAGCUUCAUUGCAAAAAUUUACUUCGCAAAUAAUAGUAUAGACAUGUGUUUUUAUUUAUAGGCUAAAUGUAUAUUUCGUUUUCUCUUAAACAAACCUUUUAACCUUAAAAAUAUGUCAAACUUGAUAUUUAAAGAUGUGAAUAGGACAACAAUUGGCAAUACAGCAGUCCACAUAUCAUCUUUUUAUUUGUUAUUAUUUUUAUAAAGUAGGAAACUAUUAGAAGUAGGGAAAUAUCACCCGAAAUAAAAAUGUAUGGUACAGUUAAUUUUCUCCUAUCUUCUACAACUACUUAUCUAGGUACAUUGUAUAUACAAAUAAAAUAAACUUUAAUAAAAUAUUAUGUUUGAUGUGUAUACGCAAGGAAGAAUACUUGAGUAUUUUAUUAUCACAAGGAAUCAUAAUAAUAGACCACAAUGUGAACUUACAUUUCGGGAUCAUAAGAAAAUCCCCGGUAUCUUAUAACAUUAUCACAAGAAUCUUUUUGUUUCAAAAUUGAAAAUACAGUAAAGAGAUAAUCUUGUUUUACGAAAUCCUAUCCACGCGGUAGCGCGUGAGAUUAAACGUUUCCUUCACGUGCUCCUAUCUACUUGGACAAUUGAUAUAUAACAGUUAAUCUUACCUCCAAUGACACCACAUCCACUUGGCACUUCUGAGCUGUCGUUAUUACCCUCAUCUUGUCUUAACCAAUAAUAAUUGACCUUUCACAAUUUUUAUAUUUCAUUUUCACCCUUCUACUUCUCACUUAUUUUGUAACCCCCCUCAUUUCUUUUGAUUCACUUCAACAGCCCAUAUAAUUUCUUUAUUAGAAAAACAAGAACAGAAAGUUGACAAAAUAAUUGAAAACUUAAUAAAAAUACUCAUUUAAUUCCCCUCUUACGUCAUCCCUUUAGUCUAAUUCAAUUAUCCUUUUUAAUAUUCAAAAGAUUCGUUAGUAUAUUGGUUGUGUCAAAAAAAUAUCUAACUAAAAUAAUGGACAUUUAUUUAUUUAAGAAAAAAAUAGAGGACUAUUUCUAUUUCACAAGCUCUUUAGAUGCAAUUACAAAAAUUUGAAAAUACUCUAUUUUUAGUAGAUUAUAUACUUUUAACCAUUUUUUCUAAACUAUUUUUAUUUGUGAAAAGAGGACAAAAGUAAUUAAUAAUUAAUUCUAAACCUUUACUGAAUUUCCCCUUUAUAUACAACCCCAUCAACCCCUUUCUCAAUCACACAAUUGUCUUCUUCAUCCUCAGAAAACUAAAAACAUGGGCUCCGUAAAGGUAACCAUCCUCCUCUUAGCAAUGAUGAUCGGCGUUUCGUAUGCUGCCGACAUGUCGAUCAUCUCGUACGACGAGAAACACCACAUCACCGCCGACAACGAGCGGAGCGACGCCGAGGUUGCGAGAAUCUACGAGGCGUGGAUGGAGAAACACGGCAAGAAGGCGCAGAGCAACGGUCUUGUCGGCGAGGAGAAGGACCAGAGAUUUGAGAUCUUCAAAGACAAUCUCCGAUUCAUCGACGAACACAACAACAAAAACCUCAGUUACAAACUCGGUCUAACCCGGUUCGCUGAUCUGACCAACGAAGAGUACCGAUCUAUCUACCUCGGUGCCAAACCGAAGAAGAGAGUCCUCAAAACCAGCGAUCGUUAUCAGCCGCGUGUUGGUGACGCGAUACCUGAUUCUGUUGACUGGAGAAAAGAAGGUGCCGUCGCCGCCGUUAAAGAUCAGGGAAGCUGCGGUAAGCCUCCGAUCAUUUACAAUGAAAUCAGGUCUCCACUAGAACUAUUAAAGCUAAAAAAUAAAAUAUAAACAUUGAAACUUGGUAAUGAUAAUGUUUGGUCUCAAGUCGUGACUUUUAGAUGUACGUUUCUGUAAUAAUUGUGGUUAGAUUUGAAAAAUCGUAAACUCUCUUAGUGAUAUUUUAUUUGUUAGGAACGUUCUUGUCGUCUUUUAAACUUUAAAGUUGUGUAGUGGGACCAUUAAAUUGAUAACGGACCCAUACGAUAUCCACCUUUUAAAAGAAUUAAAGCAAGUGGUGGGGGCUAAAGUAUUUGAUUAUUUUGAUUUAACGGAUCUUCUCUUGAUCUGUUUUGUAGGGAGUUGUUGGGCAUUUUCAACCAUUGGAGCGGUGGAAGGAAUAAACAAGAUCGUGACAGGAGAUUUAAUCUCUUUGUCUGAACAAGAACUUGUUGACUGUGACACAUCUUACAACCAGGGUUGUAAUGGAGGUUUGAUGGAUUAUGCCUUUGAGUUCAUCAUUAAAAACGGUGGUAUUGAUACCGAAGAGGAUUAUCCAUACAAAGCUGCUGACGGUCGUUGUGAUCAGACCAGGGUUAGUAUAUCAUUAUUGUAUUUAGUUUAGUUUUUAGGGUCAAAUGAAAUCAAAAACAAUAAUAGCUUUAAUCUCUCUCUGUUUUUCGUCAUUUUGGCAGAAAAACGCAAAGGUCGUCACGAUUGAUGCCUAUGAGGAUGUGCCUGAGAACAACGAGGCUGCGCUCAAGAAAGCUUUGGCUAACCAGCCUAUUAGUGUCGCCAUUGAAGCUGGGGGUCGCGCUUUCCAGCUCUAUUCUUCGGUAUGAGCUAUAAGCAAUUUGUUUAUAACUAGAUAACAUGAGAAGGAUCAAUGCAAUAGGAACGAUGAAUGGUCUUGUAACACGUUUUCUAUUAUAGUCAGAUAAUCAUUUCAAAAUAUUAAAGUGUUUGCUUUGCCUUUUUUGACUCUUCAGGGUGUAUUUGAUGGAAUAUGUGGAACAGAGCUAGACCAUGGAGUUGUAGCUGUGGGUUACGGAACUGAGAACGGAAAGGACUACUGGAUUGUGAGAAACUCAUGGGGAGGAAGCUGGGGAGAGAGCGGAUACAUAAAGAUGGCACGUAACAUUGCGGAGCCAACAGGGAAGUGUGGAAUCGCCAUGGAGGCUUCGUACCCGAUCAAGAAAGGUCAGAACCCACCAAACCCUGGACCAUCACCACCAUCUCCCAUUAAGCCACCGACCCAGUGUGACAAGUACUACUCUUGCCCCGAGGGCAAUACUUGCUGUUGUCUCUUCAAGUACGGCAAGUACUGCUUCGGUUGGGGAUGUUGCCCUCUCGAAGCUGCUACUUGCUGCGAUGAUAACACUAGCUGCUGUCCUCAUGAGUACCCGGUUUGCAAUGGCGAUACCUGUUUGAUGGUGAGUUUCUUGGUAAUUUUGAGUUGGAUGAUAAUGUUUGGAAAAUGUUUACUGAUUUCUGUAUAACAUUAUCACAAGAAUCUUUUUGUUUCAAAAUAAAGAGAUAUAAUCUUGUUUUACGAAAUCCUAUCCACGCGGUAGCGCGUGAGAUUAAACGUUUCCUUCACGUGCUCCUAUCUACUUGGGCAAUUGAUAUAUAACAGUUAAUCUUACCUCCAAUGACACCACAUCCACUUGGCACUUCUGAGCUGUCGUUAUUACCCUCAUCUUGUCUUAACCAAUAAUAAUUGACCUUUCACAAUUUUUAUAUUUCAUUUUCACCCUUCUACUUCUCACUUAUUUUGUAACCCCCCUCAUUUCUUUUGAUUCACUUCAACAGCCCAUAUAAUUUCUUUAUUAGAAAAACAAGAACAGAAAGUUGACAAAAUAAUUGAAAACUUAAUAAAAAUACUCAUUUAAUUCCCCUCUUACGUCAUCCCUUUAGUCUAAUUCAAUUAUCCUUUUUAAUAUUCAAAAGAUUCGUUAGUAAAUUGGUUGUGUCUAAAAAAAUAUUUAACUAAAAUAAUGGAAAUUUAUUUAUUUACAGAAAAAAUAGAGGACCAUUUCUAUUUCACAAGCUCUUUAGACGCAAUUACAAAAUUUUGAAAAUACUCUAUUUUUAGUAGAUUAUAUACUUUUAACCAUUUUUUCUAAACUAUUUUUAUUUGUGAAAAGAGGACAAAAGUAAUUAAUAAUUAAUUCUAAACCUUUACUGAAUUUCCCCUUUAUAUACAACCCCAUCAACCCCUUUCUCAAUCACACAAUUGUCUUCUUCAUCCUCAGAAAACUAAAAACAUGGGCUCCGUAAAGGUAACCAUCCUCCUCUUAGCAAUGAUGAUCGGCGUUUCGUAUGCUGCCGACAUGUCGAUCAUCUCGUACGACGAGAAACACCACAUCACCGCCGACAACGAGCGGAGACACGACGCAAGAUAACAAUACAAUAUAUACAUAAGUUAUCUCUUUUUUAAAUUAUAUUUUCAGAUUUUGGAUAAUUCUUAUUAUUUUUAAUAAUAAUCAAUUAUCUAAUCAAAAUCAAUUAAAAUUUCGUUUUUAUUUUUUAAUUUAUUUAUAUAUUUUAUUCAUUAAGGGUAUAAACGAUAUUAACCAGUUUAACUUUCAACUUGAGAGCUUCAUUGCAAAAAUUUACUUCGCAAAUAAUAGUAUAGACAUGUGUUUUUAUUUAUAGGCUAAAUGUAUAUUUCGUUUUCUCUUAAACAAACCUUUUAACCUUAAAAAUAUGUCAAACUUGAUAUUUAAAGAUGUGAAUAGGACAACAAUUGGCAAUACAGCAGUCCACAUAUCAUCUUUUUAUUUGUUAUUAUUUUUAUAAAGUAGGAAACUAUUAGAAGUAGGGAAAUAUCACCCGAAAUAAAAAUGUAUGGUACAGUUAAUUUUCUCCUAUCUUCUACAACUACUUAUCUAGGUACAUUGUAUAUACAAAUAAAAUAAACUUUAAUAAAAUAUUAUGUUUGAUGUGUAUACGCAAGGAAGAAUACUUGAGUAUUUUAUUAUCACAAGGAAUCAUAAUAAUAGACCACAAUGUGAACUUACAUUUCGGGAUCAUAAGAAAAUCCCCGGUAUCUUAUAACAUUAUCACAAGAAUCUUUUUGUUUCAAAAUUGAAAAUACAGUAAAGAGAUAAUCUUGUUUUACGAAAUCCUAUCCACGCGGUAGCGCGUGAGAUUAAACGUUUCCUUCACGUGCUCCUAUCUACUUGGACAAUUGAUAUAUAACAGUUAAUCUUACCUCCAAUGACACCACAUCCACUUGGCACUUCUGAGCUGUCGUUAUUACCCUCAUCUUGUCUUAACCAAUAAUAAUUGACCUUUCACAAUUUUUAUAUUUCAUUUUCACCCUUCUACUUCUCACUUAUUUUGUAACCCCCCUCAUUUCUUUUGAUUCACUUCAACAGCCCAUAUAAUUUCUUUAUUAGAAAAACAAGAACAGAAAGUUGACAAAAUAAUUGAAAACUUAAUAAAAAUACUCAUUUAAUUCCCCUCUUACGUCAUCCCUUUAGUCUAAUUCAAUUAUCCUUUUUAAUAUUCAAAAGAUUCGUUAGUAUAUUGGUUGUGUCAAAAAAAUAUCUAACUAAAAUAAUGGACAUUUAUUUAUUUAAGAAAAAAAUAGAGGACUAUUUCUAUUUCACAAGCUCUUUAGAUGCAAUUACAAAAAUUUGAAAAUACUCUAUUUUUAGUAGAUUAUAUACUUUUAACCAUUUUUUCUAAACUAUUUUUAUUUGUGAAAAGAGGACAAAAGUAAUUAAUAAUUAAUUCUAAACCUUUACUGAAUUUCCCCUUUAUAUACAACCCCAUCAACCCCUUUCUCAAUCACACAAUUGUCUUCUUCAUCCUCAGAAAACUAAAAACAUGGGCUCCGUAAAGGUAACCAUCCUCCUCUUAGCAAUGAUGAUCGGCGUUUCGUAUGCUGCCGACAGGUCGAUCAUCUCGUACGACGAGAAACACCACAUCCCCGCCGACAACGAGCGGAGCGACGCCGAGGUUGCGAGAAUCUACGAGGCGUGGAUGGAGAAACACGGCAAGAAGGCGCAGAGCAACGGUCUUGUCGGCGAGGAGAAGGACCAGAGAUUUGAGAUCUUCAAAGACAAUCUCCGAUUCAUCGACGAACACAACAACAAAAACCUCAGUUACAAACUCGGUCUAACCCGGUUCGCUGAUCUGACCAACGAAGAGUACCGAUCUAUCUACCUCGGUGCCAAACCGAAGAAGAGAGUCCUCAAAACCAGCGAUCGUUAUCAGCCGCGUGUUGGUGACGCGAUACCUGAUUCUGUUGACUGGAGAAAAGAAGGUGCCGUCGCCGCCGUUAAAGAUCAGGGAAGCUGCGGUAAGCCUCCGAUCAUUUACAAUGAAAUCAGGUCUCCACUAGAACUAUUAAAGCUAAAAAAUAAAAUAUAAACAUUGAAACUUGGUAAUGAUAAUGUUUGGUCUCAAGUCGUGACUUUUAGAUGUACGUUUCUGUAAUAAUUGUGGUUAGAUUUGAAAAAUCGUAAACUCUCUUAGUGAUAUUUUAUUUGUUAGGAACGUUCUUGUCGUCUUUUAAACUUUAAAGUUGUGUAGUGGGACCAUUAAAUUGAUAACGGACCCAUACGAUAUCCACC